UCAAGUUAACCUCUCUCCUAAACAAUUUUUAACGUAAAUGAUUUUAUCGAAACAAAAGGUUUUUUGAAGACGUGAUUUUACCGCUGCACUAAUUCACCCCCCCCUUAGUGUCGGUCCCGUUCCUAACAAUUGGUAUCAAAGCCGCAAGAGAAUGAGAGAGUGACUCUCUUGAAAGCCGAAAAGAGUCAUUUCUCUUUGGGUGUUAAACCAAAUGAGAAAAUGACGCUCUGAUACCAAUUGUUAGGAACGGGGUCAGCACUAAGAGGGGGGUUAAAUUAGUGCAGCGAUAAAAUCACGUCUUCAAAAACGUUUCAUUUCGAUAAAACUAGUUUCGUAAAGAUAACUUGAAAGCAUACAGAAAAGUAUUGAAGGCAGUAAGCUGUUAAAGAGGUUUGCAGUAAGGACAAAUUGCUCAAAGUAAAAUACAAACCAGAUUUUAGAGUGAUUCGAUCGUCGUGACCUACAUCCACUUCGCCGAUUCCUCUUCCGUCGAGGCCACCGGCAUCCACUAUCACUCUUCCUUCAAUAGGCGAAGACCAACCACCUUUUACACCCCUCUUCUCCUUUUCCCGAGUUUAGGAGACAACCCUUACAAGCACUCACUCCUCUUUUACAGAAUUCUAAACUUAGAUUUUAGAGGAGGGGACUCACUUAUGAUUGCAACAGUGUUUUCUCACUUUUAAUCUCUCGGUGCUUGUGUGUUUUAACCAAGGAUGAGAGGGGUUUAAAAUGAUAUAAAUAGACUUUUAAGAGAUUUAAGAGAUUUAAAAUGAUAUAAAUAGACUUAUCAAUCUCUUAUUGAAAAAUCGAUGAGAUAAAAAUAGAGAAUUUUCAAGAAUAAUAUAUUUUUUUAUGUGUUUCAGUUUAUGUGAUUUAUUUCAUACAAGUAUGCUUUUGCCUUUUAUGUCAAACAAAAACAUACAUCAUCGUUUAAAACUGAAAAAGAAGAUUUAUCACAAGAGUCAUCAAGAUCAAUAAACCGUAAAUCAUAAAAAUUAUCAUUACUUCAAAUCAUUAUUCAUCAUUAAAUCAUCAAACAUGAUUUCAUUAAACAUAAACCAUUUUCAAUCAAAAUCAUUUUGUUUGUUGUAGUAAUGCAUUUUUCUUCUUUAAGUGAAUCUAACUCUUCAUACUUAGUGCUAGGAGUUAACAUGCAAUUGUCAUGCUCAAUUUUUUUUAAUUUUUCAAAAUCACUAGAAAGAGAAGUAUGAACCCUUUUUUUAUAUUUUAUAUAUUAAUUUAAAAACAACUCAUGAAAUACAUCAAGUAAUUUUAUAGUAAAGUAAAGGGGUUUUGGUUGAGUCACUUACCUCGUUGUUGAAAGUCCUCAAAGUAUAGUUUGCCACCUUGCCUUUGUUGGUUUGCUCCUCAUUUUUGAAUGAGCUCGAUUCAUCCCUUCUUCUUAGGCAACUUCUUCGAUUUAUAACAAGUUGUUGUGUCAUUUUUAAGUUCAUUUUUAUUUUUUGAUUCUUAUUUUAUAAACCUUUUAAAUUUACUUAUGAGGAGUUCAAAGUUAUCAUCACUUGAGCUUUCGCUCAAGUUAUCUUCUUUUGUUCUAAGUGUCAAAUCCUUUCUAUUUUUUAGAAGGUUAUUUUUAAAUUUGUCUUGCACCAUACAAGUCAUUUAAUAUGUCAUUAAUAAACUGAUGAAUUCUUCCAAUGGAAAAUUGUUUAAGUUAUUUGCCUCUUGUAUUAUAAUUAUUUUUGAAUCCCAAUUUUUAGAAAGAGAUUAUAAAACUUUAUUAAUAAGUUCAAGAUUCGGAAAACAUUUGUCAAGAGCUUUUAAACUAUUGACGAUAUCAAUAAAACGGGUGUAUAUAUCAACAAUAGUUUCGCUUGGAUUCAUUCGAAACAAUUCAAAAUCAUACAUCAAAAGAUUUAUUUUAGACUCUUUUACUCUAUUCGUGCCUUGAUGAGUUACUUCUAGUGUGUGUCAAAUCUCAUGUGCAGUUUCGUAUAUAGAAAUACGAUUAAAUUUAUUUUUAUCUAAAGCAUAAAAUAAAGUGUUCAUCGUUUUAGCAUUGAAAGAAAAAGUUUUCUUCUCCAAAUCAUUCCAUUCAUUCAUUGGAUUAGAAGACUUUUGAAAAUCACUUUUGAUAAUAUUUCAUAAAUUCAAAUCCAUAGAAAAUAAUAAAACUCUCAUUUGAGUUUUCCAAUAAGUGUAGUUUGUCCCAUUGAACAUAGGAGGACGAAUGAUAGAGUGACCCUCUAGAUUGCCAAAAAAAGUUAUCUCUCUUGGGUGUUAAACCAACAAAGAGAAACAUGUCUCUGAUACCAACUGUUAGGACUAUUUCAGCACUAAGAGGAGGGGGGAGGGGGGGGUGAAUUAGUGCUUUUGUAAAAGUUACGAUUUAGAAACUUCUCAUUCGAUAAACCUCGUAUCGGAAAGAUGCUUAACUUGAAAAUAUUCGUAGAAUUUAAUGAGCAAUAAAAUCAGUAUGAAAUAAAGGUAAAUAGCAAAAGAAAAGAGUACACCAGAUUUAUAGUGGUUUGAUCAUCAUAACCUUCGUCAACUCCCGAUUCCUACUCUAUUGAGGCCACCGACAUCCAUUAACGGUCUUUCUUUAAUGGGUGAAGACCAACUACCCUUUUACAACUCUUUUCUCCUUUGAUAGGCUCAGGAGAGAACAUUUACACCUUUUUAUAAAGUUUCUCUUACACUCUCCCUUAGAAUAGUCUAUAAACUUUAGGAGAAGGGACUAUAUACUUUACAAGGGUUUAUAACUUUAGAAUUAUAGAGUUUUAUUCUACUUUCUUAUUAUCUUAAAUAGGAAAGAUUAGAGUAUUUAUAGACCCCAAAUGACUUUAAAAAUUAGAGCCAAAAUUUAAAUCCCCGAGAUUUUGGGGUACUAGCGAUACCACCACCUGUGCUGGGCAGUACCACCACCUAUAGCACUGACACUAGACGGUACCACCGCCUAGUCUAGGAGGUACCACUAUCUGACAUAGUCUGGGAGAUUAUGUCUGGGUGGUACCACCACCUAGACUAAUGGUACCACUACCUGACAUAGUCUGGGAGACUAUGUUUGGGCGGUGCCAUCACAUAUCCCUUUUAUGGGUGAUCGAAUGGGCCUUUCACUUGGCCCAAAACAGCCCCAACUCAGGUUCAAUUGACCCCUAAUUGAGUUAGCAUUAUUUUACCCCAAAAUUGACUCAAUUAGACCUAACCUAACUCGAUUUAGACAGACGAUUCCAAGCAUGAAUCCUAUAUUAUCUUACAUGUCAUUGGUUUAUCUAGCGCUUUGUCCAAUCCUUUGUCGCAUCAUCCUCUCUUUCGACGUAUUGCCCAAUCGACAUGUUGACUCCCGUAACUUCCGAUCUCCUUAGCACAAUGUAUGAUCCUUCAGCCCGAUGCCUGAACUUAUAGCACGAAGUCUUUCUACAAGUAUGUCGACCGAUCCUCUGACUCGACAUCCAAUCGCCUGACAUGUUUCACUUUGACCGAAUAUCUGAUUCCUCCUACUUUAAUGGAUUUAUCUUUUUUGAUCAAAGUUAGUCUUGUGUCACUCAAAACACAGAUUAGAUUAUAAAAUUUAUCAAUUGAUUUCAUCAUCAAAAUUCAAGAUUCAAUAAUAACCAUGUGUACUUAGUGAAAUAGUCUACAAAAAUGAUAUAAAAUCUAAAAUUGUCAAAAGAAAGGGUUAGGGUGGGGCCCCAAACAUCGGUAUAAAUAAUUUCAAACUAUUUUGUUUAUUGAAUUGAGAAACAAAAAUAAGGUUUCGUUUAAUGUGAUGUGCACAUAAAACAUCAUCGAGUAUAAAGGUUGUAGUAAGUGAAUUAAGUGUUAUGGAACCAGUAUGAGUAAUGAAAAUUUAUUUACCGUCACCAAUGAUGAUAUCUUCAUUUUCGUCAUAAUUGUUGUGAAUAGACAAGUUCUGAAGAUCAGAGAUGAUAUGAUAAGAGGCAUGUCCACAACCAAUUAGGUUGGCUAGUAGUCAAAGUAGUCAUGAGAUUUGCUUGAGACCACUGAGAUGGAGUAGGGAAUCUAGGUCGAGACCGACAGACUUUCACAAAGUGUCCAACUUUAUCUCAUAGCUGGCAAAUGACUCUUUGUUGGCUUGUGAGGUUAGGAGGCCAGGUAUGAUGAUAAUUGAAGUUGCCACCUUGAUAGUUGAAAUGUUGAUAAUGUGAUUGAGGGGGGUUUUGUUGGAGACCUAUAAGGUCAGGAGACAGCUUAGUCAGACCUUUGUUAACAUUCUUAUUAUAUUGGUUGCUCUUUCUCUCAUAUUUUUUACUGACUUGAGCUAUGAUGGUUAGUCCGGGCAACUUAUCCUUGUGCUUUAAAUACAUCUUAUAGUCAGUCAGCUUGUCAUAGAGUUCUUCGAAUGAUAUUGGUGAGUCAUGUGCCCGAAUUGCUACUAUCAGUUCCUUGUGUUGAAUCUUAGAUUUUGAUGAUGAAACCAAUUGAUAAAUGUUUAUGAUUUAAUCUAUAUUUUGAGUAAUGUAGGAUUCUUCGAUCAGGAUGAGACAAUUAAAGUAGAAAGAAUCAUGUUGGGCCGGUGGAACAUGUCAGAAGAUUGGACGUCGAGCCGAAGUAUCAGUUGACGUAUCGAUAGAAGGCUUCAGGCUAUGGAUUCGGGUAUCGGGCUAAGAAGAGUGGAUAUUACGCUAAGGAUAUUAGAGUUGCGGAGUUAACUGGUCGAUUGGGCAAUAGGUUGUAAGAGAGGACGAUGCGCCAAAGAAUCGGACGAAGCGUCGAGGGACCAAUGACAUACUAGACAACAUGAUUCAUACUUAGUAUUAAUUUUCUAGAUCGAAGUGUGUUUUUACAUGUGUGGGAUUAACUACGAUAGCAAGGCAUAAAGCAAAAUGAAGUCCCGGAGUCAAAAACAUGAUUUCGUUGAGAGUUCGAGAGUUCAUCGGAAGUCCGGACGUUCGUCGAAAGUUAUAUCGAGAAGUCCCGAAGCUUGCCAAAGAAGCUCGUCGGAACUUACCAAGAAGAUUGUCGUGAGGUCCAGGAGCUUACCGGGAGUCCGCUGGAACAUUGCCGAGAGAUCAUUGGAAGUUCGUCGAAAGCUCGUUGAAAGAAACGUAGACUUACAGACUUGUUUAGCUUAAGUAUACCUUAGAUUUCGUAGUUAGCAUAUAAUUAGGUUUGGAUUUGGCCCAACCCAAUUAGGGGCUAGCUGAGCCCAUGUAAUGACUGUGUUGGGCCCAAUGAAAGGCCCAAACAAUAACCCAAGAGAUGGCACCGUCGUGACACAGUCUUUGAGACUGUGUCAAGCGAUGAUACCGCCAGUCUAGGCGAUGGUACCACCUAGUGGCCCAAUGCCAGACGGUGGUACUGCCCAGUGUAGUGUUAGUGUCAAACUGACACUAGCGGUGGUUCUGCCCAGCAUAGAUGGUGGUACCGCCCAAACCCAGGAAACCCGGGAUAAGAUGUUUUUAGGCUCCAAGUUUGAAUCAACUUGAGGCCUAUAAAUACCCCUCUCAUCCCUGGUUAACAAACACAAGACUUGAGAGUAAAAAUAGAAAGAAACGCUGCUGCAAUCUUGUGUGAACUCCUCUCAAAAGUUCUAGGUGUUAGAAUGGUUUAAGAGAGGAGUAAGUGGGGGUGUAAGGGUUAUCUCCUAAACCCGGCAAAAGGAGAAUCAAGUUGUAAAAGGUGGUUAGUCUUCGUCUAUUGAAGACCGAUAGUGGAUGCUGGUGUCUUCGACGGAAGAGGAAUCGGUGGAGUGGAUGUAGGUCACGAUGACUGAACCACUAUAAAAAUCUGGUUUGCCUUUGCUUUGAGCAAUUUAUUUUAAACUGCAAACUGCCUUCUCAUUACUUGCUACGCUCUUCCAUUCACUUUCAAUUUAAGCAUAUUUCUGGAAUCGAUUUUCAAUGUACGAAGAAUUUUCAGAAACGUAAUUUUUACCGCUACACUAACUCAAACCCCCCCCCCCCCUCCCUCUUAGUGCCAACUCUGUUCCUAACAAUUGGUAUCAGAGCCUCGUUUUCUUAUUUAUUUUAACACCCAAAAAGAAAUAGCUCUUUUCGGCUUUCAAGAUGGUCACUCUCUCAUUCGUCCUCCCUUUUUCAAUGGGAUGGACUAUACUUAUUGGAAAACUCGAAUGAGAGUUUUUUUGCUUUAAUUGAAUCUCGAUUUAUGGCACAUAGUCGAAUUUGAUUUUCAAAGGUCUUCUCUUCAAAUGAACCAUUGGAAUGAUUUAGAGAAGAAGACUUUUUCUUUAGAUGCAAAGGCUAUGAAUGCCUUAUUUUGCGCCUUAGACAAAAAGGAAUUUAAUUGGGUUUCUAUAUGCGAAACGACAUUCGAUAUAUGGCACACUCUUGAAAUCACACACAAAGGCACAAGUAGUGUUAAGGAUUCUAAAGUUAAUUUUUUAAUACACGAUUUUGAACUGUUUCAUAUGAAACCAUGCGAAACCAUUUGAGACAUGUACACCCGUUUUACCGGUGUCGUCAAUGGUUUAAAAGCUCUUGGUAAAAGUUUUUUGAAUCUUGAACUUGUGAAUAAAGUUUUAUGCUCACUCUCUAAAACUUGGGAUUUAAAAAUAACGACUAUUCAAGAAUAAAAAAACUUAAACUAUUUCCCUCUCCAAGAACUUAUAGGGUCUUUGAUGACCUAUGGAAUGACAUGCAAUACAUGUGAAGAACUCAAGAACAACCUUCCAAAGAAUAGGAAGGAUUUGGCACUUAGAACACUUGAANNNNNNNNNNNNNNNNNNNNNNNNNNNNNNNNNNNNNNNNNNNNNNNNNNNNNNNNNNNNNNNNNNNNNNNNNNNNNNNNNNNNNNNNNNNNNNNNNNNNNNNNNNNNNNNNNNNNNNNNNNNNNNNNNNNNNNNNNNNNNNNNNNNNNNNNNNNNNNNNNNNNNNNNNNNNNNNNNNNNNNNNNNNNNNNNNNNNNNNNNNNNNNNNNNNNNNNNNNNNNNNNNNNNNNNNNNNNNNNNNNNNNNNNNNNNNNNNNNNNNNNNNNNNNNNNNNNNNNNNNNNNNNNNNNNNNNNNNNNNNNNNNNNNNNNNNNNNNNNNNNNNNNNNNNNNNNNNNNNNNNNNNNNNNNNNNNNNNNNCAAUUUUAGAUGAAUCAAGCUCAUCCGAAGACGAGGAGAAAAUCAACAAAGGCGAGGUGGCAAACUAUGCCUUAACGGCUUUCGACGAUGAGAUAAUCAAAAUAUAUUUUAUUUAUUUCAAAAUUACAUGAUACUUUUCAUGAGUUAAUUUUAAUUUAGUUUAGAAUAAUUAUUUUUCUUGAAAAUUGCAUGUUUAAAAAUGAAAAUGCAAAAAUUAUGAUCAUGCUAGUAAUUUUGAAAAUGAUAAUGAAAAUUACAUGUUUUAUGUUAAUGGAAUAAAAUGUUAGAUUUAAAUCUAAUGAUGAUCCUAUGAAUGUUUUUCAAGAAGAAAUAAUGUGUAUCUUGAUGAUUUUCGAUUUUGAUUGAAACCAUACUUGAUAUCUUAAUGAAAAUAUUAAGAAGUUUGAUAUCAUGCUUAAUGAUGAUGCAUGGAUUUUGUAUCGAAAACUAAGCUUGAAAAGUUAGAUUCACCUAAAAAGAAAAAUGCAUGACUACAAUAAAACAAAAUGAUCUUGAUGGAAAAUGCUUUAUGUUUGAUGAAAUCAAUUUCGAUGAUGCAUAAUGAUGUAAUUAUGUAAUGAAAAUAUUAAAAUCAUGUCUUAAUAUUAUGCAUAAUGAUCGUGCUUAAUAAAUUUCAAAAUUAUGCAUGAUGAUUCUUGAGAUUUAUGGAUUAUCGAUUUUUACGAUAAUGAAAGUGGCUUUUUCGAUUUUUAAACGUUGAUGCAUGUUUUUGGCAUAAAUGAAAAAGACAUGCUUCUAUGAAAUAAAUCACAUGAAUUGAAACUACCAAAAAGAGAUAAACAUUUUUCUUGAAAACUUUUUUUUUCUCUAUCUUAUCAAUUUUUCACUAAGAGAUUGAUAAAGUUGUUUGUCAUUUUGAAUCUCAUGAAAAUGAUUUUGAUGAGUUGAAUUUGAACGAGACUUAUCUUGAUUUUUUGAAAUUUAUAACUUGAGAUUUCUUAUACAUGAAUCAAGAUAUUAUAUUAUUUGAUCUCCUAUGUUUCUUUUUACUAUUUAUAAAAAGAAGAGAUUUGAUAAAAUGAAUCAUGUCUUUUGUAAUUCAAGAGGUCUUAUCUUUCAUGACAUGAUGUGUUUGUAUUUAUGGCUUGUAUGCCUUGAAAUGAUUGAAAUAUUUUAUAUUAUUUUGUUCUUCCCUUAUUCUUUCUUGUUUACAAUGAUAAAAAAUGAAAAAGUUAUGAUCAUGCAUGGUAGGAUGCAAUUUGAUAAAUUAAUACUAUCAUGAUUUGAAAUACUAUGAUUUGUUGCUAAUAUUGAUGUAAUUAUGAAUGAUGAUUUGAAAUCAUGCAUGUAAUGAUGAUUUUAUAUUUUGAAAAUAUACAUGAUGAUUUGGUAUUAUACAUACAAUGCUUAUGCUUUUUAAUUAUGAUGAUGAAUGUGAUGUAUUGCAUAUGAUGUGAAUCAUGAUUGCUUUGAUUUAAAUUCAAGGUUUAUCUUAAUUAUGAUAUUUUGAAAUAAGAAUGAUUACUCACCUUUGUCAUGAUUUAGAAAUUGACGUAAAGGGAAAAAGAAUUACAAUAUUAUAUUCUUCCCUUCUUUUUGACAUUGACAAAGGGGAAAAAAUAUUGCUAGCUCAUCUUACAAAAUUUAGAAACUUGCACUUUGCAAAGGAAGCAAAAUUGCUAGCUCAAACAUUAUAAAUGAAGCAAAAAUUUGCUAGCUUACAAAUUGCAUAGAGAAAGAAGUGCUAUCUUGCUUAUCUCAAGAAGCAAAACAUGCUAACUUACACAUCUAGCAAAAUUUACAAGCUUGUAUAUUUCAAGAAGCAAGAGUUGCUUUCUUGAGCAUUUCAAAAUUGCUAGCUUGCAUGUUUUAAAAUGUUAUAAAUUUAUUGCUAGCUUGCAUGAUGAUAAAACUGAAGAUUAUGUUUAUUAUGUAACGACUUGAACUUACAUUUCAAACACUUGAAAGUUGCACUUCUCCUUUUUAUUGAUGACAAAAGGGGAGAAGUAUGAUCAUGUUAUGCAUUAUGAUGUGUUGCAAAUAUUCAUGAUGAAAUUUACAAUGACUUGAAUUUGAUCUGAAUUCAAGGUUAUAUGAAUAUGGCAUAUUGAUAGGGCAUAUUACAAAUGAUCAUGUUAUGCAUUAUGAUGUGUUGCAAAUAUUAAUGAUGAAAUUUACAAUGACUUGAAUUCGACCUGAAUUCAAGGUUCUAUGAAUAUGACAUAUUGAUAGGGGAAGUUUGUUUAAACUCUGGGAGUUAAGGUUAACUCCAUCAUCAAUUGGUUGUCAUCAUCAAAAAGGGGGAGAUUGUUGAAUCUCAUAUUUUGAUGAUAAAACCAAUUGAUAAGUGUUUAUGAUUUAAUCUAUGUUUUGAGUGACACAAGAUGCUUCAAUCAUGAUGAGAUAAUUAAAGCAGGAAGAAUCAUGUUGGGCCAGUGGAACAUGUCAGAAGAUUGGACGUCGAGUCGAAGGAUCGGUCGACGUAUCGAUAGAAGAUUUCGGGUCAUGGAUUCGGGCAUCGGGCCAAGAAGAGUGGAUAUUGCAUCAAGGAUAUUAGAGUUGUGGAGUCAACUGGCUAAUUGGGCAGUAAGCCGCAAGAGAAGACGAUGCACCGAAGAAUCGGAUGAAGCGUCGAGGGACCAAUGACAUGCCGAACAACAUGAUUCAUGCUUAGUAUUAAAUGUCUAGAUCGAAGUGUGUUUUUACAUAUACAGGAUUAACUACGAUAGUAAGGCAUAAAGCAAAAUGAAGUCCCGGAGUCAAGAACGCGAUUUCGUUGGGAGUUCGAGAGUUUGUCGAAAGUCCGGACAUUCGUCGGAAGUUCUGCCGAUAAGUCCCGAAGCUUGCUAGAGAAGCUCAUCGGAACUCGCCAAGAAAAUCAUCGUGAAGUCCAGGAGCUUGCUGGGAGUCCGAUGGAACAUUGUUGAGAGAUCGUCGGAAGUUCAUUGGAAGAUCGCUAGAAGCUCACCGGAAGAAACGUAGACUUACGAACUUGUUUAGCUUAAGUAUGCCUUAGAUUUCGUAGUUAGCACAUAAUUGGGUUUGGAUUUAGGCCAACCCAAUUAGGGGUCAAUUGGGCCCAUGUAAGGGUGGUGGUACCACCAGUCUUGGCAGUGGUACCGCCUAGUGCAGUGUUAGUGUUAGACUGACACUAGAGGUGGUACCACCCAGCACAGGCGGUGGUACCGCCUGGACCCAGGAAACCUGGGAUAAGAUAUUUUUAGGUUCCAAGUUUGAAUCAACUUAAGGCCUAUAAAUACCCCUCUCAUCCCUAGUUAACAAACACAAGACUUGAGAGUAAAAAUAGAAAGAAACACUUCUACAAUCUUAUGUGAACUCCUCUUAAAAGUUCCAAGUGUUAGAAUAGUUCGAGAGAGGAGUAAGUAGGGGUGUAAGGGUUAUCUUCUAAACCCGGUAAAAGGAGAAUCGAGUUAUAAAAAGUGGUUGGUCUUCGCCUAUUGAAGGAAGACCGAUAGUGGAUGCCGGUGGCCUCAAUAGAAAAGGAAUCAAUGGAGUGGAUGUAGGUCACGACGACCGAACCACUAUUAAAAUCUAGUUUGCCUUUACUUUGAGCAAUUUAGUUUAAAUUGUAAACUACCUUCUCAUUACUUGUUAUGCUCUUCCAUACGCUUUCAAUCUAAGUAUAUUUCUAGAAUCGGUUUUCAACGUACGAAAAUUUUUCAGAAACGUAAUUUUUACCGCUAUACUAAUUCCCCCCCUCUCAGUGCCAACUCUGUUCCUAACACCUUGUACUCGUCUCCUAGACUAUUCAAGGUAUGAACUAGGACUUCUUUAUCAUAUAGCGAAUGAUCUAUCAAAGUCAAGUCAUCGAUGAUAACUUUGAUAUGUUGAAGAUAAUCAGCAAUAGUACUUUCCUCUUAUUUCGUUUUUAUUAGAGUGGAUAGAAGACUAAGCAUGCGAGUAUGUGAGCAAUUCGACAAGGUAGUUUGCAACUUGUAUUAAGCUUCUGCAGUAGUCGUACAUAAAGAGAUCAAUAGGGCGACGGACCCGGUGACGGAGGCUUGAAUAGUUUAGAGGAUGAGACGAUCUUGGUAUAGCUAUAGUUUGUGAGCUGAAUUUGGUACCGGACUAAGGUCUUUUGAGAUGUUGAUCAUUGUUGGUGGACAACUGAAAGAGUCAUCGAUAUAACACAGGUUCUUCCUCGGAAGAUGGACGAGCUCUGUGAGGAGCGAUUAUUGUCGUUGGCAAUGAUAAAUAUUGCUCUAAGACAAGAGGCUCUAAUACCAUGAUAAAUUAAAUUAUAAUGAUAAAAAUAUAUAUUAAAUAAAUAAAUAUAAUAUUUUAUUUAUAUUUGAAAAUGAGAGAAUUUUCCUCGAAUGUAUAGAUUUCCUCGCAUUGUUAAAAAUAAAUCUUAACUAACCUUCUCCUCCUGUUGUGUUUCUCACGGGGAGAGGCUUCGAAACCCACGACCACCACCCUCGUCUCUCUUCUCCCGCCCUCUCGUUUCUUUUAUCAGCCCGAGAGAUGAUUCCUCACCCAUGCACGUGAUCUCUCUCUCCCUCUCUCUCUCUCUCUCUCUCUCAAACGGAAAGUAUGACAAUUAAUGGCUUCCUCAGAGUUAGAUGGGGGAGUUUGAAUCGCAGAGUAGACAUCACAAUCGUGGCCUCUUAUCAGUCAGCUCAAACGCAUGACUGCAUGUUUGACUCAGUUUACGAAUGCAUGGCUUUUAUUUGUUGCUUCAAAAGAAAGAUCAUAAGGCACAGUAGAUCUUAAAUAUUGAACUCGCUUGGUUCCUGUGCCAAUAUUCAAAUAGCUCAUCUUUGACUCACUUGCGAAUUGGAAACAUAGUGGAGAGAACCUCAAAAGAAAUGGAACAUAUGCUUCUCCAACUCUUUUUUAUUUACUUGAUAUAUGUCUGUCACAUCUGAUGUGAUAGAAAAAUAGACGAAUAGAACAUAAGAAAACAUGAGAAAAUACAAACUAAAUCUCAAGUAUUAAUAAUCCUUUUAGUACUAAUAAGUACUAAAAGAAAUAUUACUGAUCCUCAUUUUUUUGUUUUUUAGCAGAGAGCAUUUGUUCUAACAGCAAGUUGGUAGAAACCUCAGACACUGGACAUGUAUAGAUCAAAACCCUCUCGAGGGAUUGCACUAGUAUUGCCAUUCACUCUCUUGCAUGUUGGCAGGAGAUAGGAUUUGUUUGAUUAAUGUCUUUGGUGGUCAUCAAGUAUAAGAACAUGAUUAGUGUCCUUCAUUAACACAAACUUGUGUAUCAUAUGAAGUAUAGAUUUCUCUAUUAACACAGCUCAAAACACUACAUGCUCCUGCUCUCUUUCAUGCGACCGAGGGAUCGAAGGCGACGUGCAGCACCUGUUCAAGCUCAUGGAUUGAACCUAUUAUUUAUGGGUCUUCGUCUUUGUACACGGGAGUAAUCCUGAUUCCACCACCAAGGCAUCAUCUUCUUCUUCUCCUUCGUCGUCGCCGGUCUCCGCUGGUCAUGCAGCCUAAUGGCACCUUAAACAUCCAGCAAAGCACAAAGACUGAGACUUAGCUGAGAAGCACUGCAAAACAAGAUACAUGAUUGAUCGAAGAGAUGCAGUACCGACAGUAGCUUGUCGAUGGAGCAAGGAGAGGCCUGCAAGCAUGAGAAGCAGCACCCAAACCACCACUCUAACACACCUCAUCUUCAUCCCUCUCACUGCUAACUCUGAGACACACUCAUCGAGUCAAAAGGAAGGAGAUUUAGGGAGGCAGAGACCCAGGGUUAGUAGUUCCAUUCUGUCCCUAUGGGUUUGUAUAGGUGGCUGGCCUAUGAACUCUGAAAGAAGAUUCUCUAGCUUCAGGGUUUUCUGUGAUCUUUUACACUACAUAAAUUGCCUGACUGCAUUCACUUCCUUUUGAGAUCUUCCAGAAUAUUUUUGUCUCAUGUGAGCUCCACUAGAAGAGGGUAAGCACAUGACAGUUGAAAAAGACUGGUCUUGUGAGCAGACACAGUCAACAUGGAGGAGAUGCUUUACGAGCCUAAGCCUCAUUAAUUAUGUUUUCUAGCUGCAAUGUAAUGGCUGGAGGAGAGUGGAGUAGCGAACAACUAGAAGAACUGCCUCACCCAUCAUUGAUUGCCACAAAGUGGAAGGACUUGAAAGACGACCUCAGAAAUCAUAAAGAACAGUAGUUAAUGUUUCCUAGCUAGCUAGCUGUUCCACUCAUCAUGAAGAUGACUAACUAAGACUGGUAUAUUAAAUCUGAGAUGAUUGUUGAUCAUCAAAACAAGAACUACAUUGUUUUUCUUUGAGUCUUUUAGGACGUUUUAUAUCUGCCGUGGAAGAGUUAUGAACAAUUGCAAUUUCAAUUUCAGUCAAUGAACCCAUUUCUUACCAGUCAAAAUAUGGAUCACACUGACAUUCAUUUCCCUUCCAGCUUAACGAACUACACCGGACAAACCCAAGUGGUAAGCAGGAUUUCCAGCACAUUGCAGAGCAAACAUAUAUCUUUCUUAUAAAUAAUAAUAUAGGCUAUUAAGCAUGAAAGUGAUUUGACAGAGUGUGGCCGCCCAUUUUAAUCCUUCAAUAAAAUUCAUCCAUUAAUAACAAUAUAUAUAUAUAUAUAUAUAUAUAUAUAUAUAUAUAUUAUUAGGAAAAAUCUAUUAAAACGGAAUAUUCUUUUCCCUGUGUAUCAAAAUGUGUUCCUCAUCAAAAUACCAACUUGAUAUCCAAAUAUAAAUAUCAACCAGCACAUCAUAAACAAUAGAGCAAAUAAUCAAUCACAUAGUGAGACCAAAUCUUUUUAACGUGGAAAACCCAAUGUGAAAAAAACCACGGGACCAUAGUCCACCUCAAACUUCCACUAUCAAUAAUAAUGAUAACAAGUUUACAAUCGGUCUUCUCUAGAUAACUAGAGGAUCACAAUAACAUCAAGAUCAUAGAUCUUGACUCUAGUAUAGCAUAUCUUCAUCAUAUAGGAUGGAUCUCCUCAUAAGAGAAUUAUAUGUCUCACAAAGCGGAUAUAGCAGAAAAGUACCUUAGAGAGGAUAAACUGUAGAUCAACACCGUUAGGAUUGUAGAGUUUGCUGCAAAGAUUCUCCACAUAAAAUUUUGCCCAAAACUGACAAUGUUUGGCCACCGAUCGUCAAGUAGAAAACUCAGAAACCUAAUCUUUCUCUCUCUAUGUCACCCAACUUUGCCCUUUCUCUCUUAAUUACUGAUUUGGGCUUAUGGCCCAAAUUUAUCCAAGCCCACAUAUGGGCUGGACCCAACAAUUCUCCCCCUCCAACUCAUAUAGUGAGCUGUACCAAGCCCGCUCUUCGCCUACAUGCUUCAAGCUUCUCCUCAGGCAAAGACUUUGUCAACAUAUCUGAUUCAUUCUCAUUAUUAUGCACUUUUUCCAACUGUAAUUCUUUCAUCUCAAGCACAUCACGAAUCCAGUGAUAUCUCACAUCAAUAUGCUUGGAUCUAGAAUGAUAUGUUGAAUUCUUGAAGAGGUGAAUGGCACUCUAACUAUCACAGUAAACAAUAUAUCCUUCUUGUUUCAAGCCCAAUUCCUAUAGAAACUUUUUCAUCCAUAAAGCUUCCUUGUAGGCUUCAGUAAUUGCUAUGUAUUCUGCUUCUAUGGUUGAUAGAGCAACACACUUCUGUAACUUAGACUACCAAGAGACUGCUCCUCUUGUAAAUGUUAUCAAGAAUCCCGAAGUGGACUUCUUGGAAUCAGUAUCACCUGCCAUGUCUGCAUCUGUGUAACCUUCUAACACAGGUUCAUCAUUACUAAAACAUAAACAUAACCUGGAAGUACCUCUUAGAUAUCUUAAUAUCCAUUUCGCUGCUGCCCAAUAUUCCUUUCCAGGAUUUGAGAGAAAUCGACUGACAACUCCAAUUGCAUGAGCUAUAUCUGGCCUAGUACAAACCAUCGCAUACAUCAAACUGCCUACUGCAGAUGAGUAAGGCACUCUGGACAUUUUUUUUUUCUUUCUCACUUGUAGGAUAUUAUUUCGAAUUAAGCUUGAAAUGACCUGCAAGUGGGGAACAAACUGCUUUGGCUUUACUCAUGUUGAAUCUUUCAAGAACCUUUUCAACGUAAGUCUCCUAAGAUAGCCAAAUCUUCCUUUUCUUUCUAUCACGAAGAAUCUUCAUGCCAAGUAUUUGUUUCACCGAUCCCAAGUCUUUCAUUGCAAAAGACUUACUUAGCUCUCUUUUAAGCUUUCCAAUUUUUCCAACAUCAUGGCCAAUAAUCAGCAUAUCAUCAACAUAUAGCAGUAAAAUAAUAAAAUCAUCAUCUAAAAAUUUCUUCAUAAACACACAAUGAUCAGAUGUGGUUCUAUCAUACCCUUGGCUCAUCAUAAAGGAAUCAAACUUCUUAUACCACUAUCUAGGUGCUUGUUUGAGUCCAUAUAAGCUUUUCCUAAGCUUACACACCAUAUGUUUUUUUCCUUUGACUUUGAAACCUUCUGGUUGCUCCAUGUAAAUUUCUUCUUCUAAGUCACCAUGAAGAAAUGCUGUUUUUUACAUCAAGUUGCUCAACUUCUAAAUUCAAGCGGGCAGCUAAACCAAGAACAACUCGGAUAGAGGACAUUUUCACAACUGGAAAAAAUAUUUCUUCAAAGUCAAUACCUUUCUUUUGACUAAAUCCUUUCACAACUAGUCGUGCCUUGUAUCUUUGUUGUGAGUUAUUGUUUUCAGUCUUCAAUUUAUAAACCCACUUAUUCUUGAGAGCUUUCUUUACUUUAGGCAAUUUUACCAAGUCAUAAGUGUGGUUCUCAAACAAGGACCUCAUCUCUUUUUGCAUGGCUUUAACCCCCUCAUUCUUAUUCUCAUGUAGAAUAGCUUCUUGGUAAGUUUCUGGCUCUCCCCAGUCAGUUAGCAUAACAUACUCAUGUGGGGGAUAUCUGGUAGAUGGUUGUCGCUCUCUAGUGGAUCUUCUCAAUGGAAUCUCAACUGGUGGUGGAGGUGCUUGUUCAGUUGGUUCAGCAUCAUCAACUAUUGGUGUAUCAUCACGGGUAUUCUCACCACAAUCUUCUAGUUCAACUCCCCCAUGAUCAUCAUGAACAACAGGUGAAGGAACUGGACCUAAACUCCAAGGAAUAUAAAUAGAGGUUUCUGGCUUCUCAAUAUUAUCACCAUCAUCAAACAAUUUGUCUUCAAGAAAUACAACAUCUUUGCUUCUAAUAAUCUUCUUGUUCACUGGAUCCCAUAAUCUGUACUCAAACUCUUCAUGACCAUAUCUCAAGAAGAUAUAUGCUUUUGCUUUACUAUCAAACUUGAACCUCUCAUCUUUGGGAAUAUGAACAAAUGCUUUACACCCAAAGACUCUUAAAUGAUUAUAAGAUAUAUCUUUUCCUCUCCAUACUCUCUCUCUUGAACAUCACCUUUCAAAGGAACUGAUAGAGAAAGAUUUAUCAAAUCAACUGUAGUUCUCAUAGCCUCCCCCAAAAUGACUUUGGUAACUUGGCAUUGGAAAGCAUACACCUAAUCCUUUCUUCAAUGGUUCUGUUCAUCCUUUCUGUCACACCGUUCUGUUGAGGAUUUUUAGGAACUGUUUUCUCAAGUCUGAUACCAUAAUUCUUAAAAGGACCCCUGUACUCGUCACCAUUAUCUGAUUGAAUACACUUUCGUUUUCUGCCAGUUUCUUUUUCAACACUGAUAUGAAACUCUUUGAAAACAUCGAGUACCUGGUCUUUAGAUUUCAAAGCAAAAGCCCACACUUUUCUAGAAUGGUCAUCAAUAAAAAUAACAAAAUAAAGAGCACCUUCAAGAGUUCUAGUUUGCAUAGUACAAGCAUCAGUAUGAACUAAAUCAAUAACAUCUGAUCUUCUAGAUGAUGGAUAUGUCUGAAAUGCAACUCUAUGUGUUUUUCCAGCUAUGCAAUGAUCACAAGAUUUAAGAGAUGUACCUUGCAACUCAGGUAAGAACUGCUUUCUAGCAAGAGUUUGAAGUUCCUUCUCGUUGAUAUGUCCAAGCCUAUUAUGCCAAAGAUCUAUGCUUUCACCUUUUUUAAAUUGCAUUAAUCUCUCCUUUAUGUAGCUUCGCUUCCAUGACAUAAAAAAAGUUAAUUUUCUUUCUUUUUGCCACAAUUAGAGAACCUUUAGUGAAUUUUCAUUUACUUUCACCAAAAUAAUGUGCAAAGCCCUCACCAUCAAGUCUACCUGCAGAUAUCAAGUUAAGACGAAUAUAUGGAACAUGUCUUACAUCUUUGAGUAUCAAUUUGCUCCCAAUACUGGUCUCCAAGCAAAUAUCUCUAAUACCCACAAUCUUAGAUGUAUAACUAUUUCCCAUUCUGACACUACCAAAAUGACUAGUAGUGUAAUAUCUAAAGAAAUCACCAUGAGAAGUAACAUGAAAUGAAGCACUAGAGUUAAUUACCCAAUUACUGUCCUGAGCUAUAAGACUAACACAACAUUCAUCACAAACAAUAGUGGUAUUACCUUCCGCAGCAACUGUAUUGGUCUUUUUCUCAUUUUUCUUCAUUUCAUUCUAUUCUCGCUUCCAAAACAUACAUUCUUUCUUCAUGUGACCUGGCCUAUUACAGUGAAAAUAUUUGAUAUCUCUUCUAGACUUAGAUCUUCCUCUAUAUCCAUGUGGAUUUCUGCUAUGACUUCUUCCAUGUCUUUCUUGUUUUUCAGUAACAAAUGCACCAGAAGAAAAUUCACUAUGUUCUUUCCUUCUGGCAUCUUCAUUUAGCAAACUGUCAUUAACCAUAUCUAUAGUUAGAGUCCCCUCUGGCGUGGAGUUACAAAUAGUCACCACAUACGUUUCCCAACUUUCUGGUAAAGAGCUGAUAAGUAAUAAUCCUUGCAUCUCCUCAUCUAUAUUCAUUUUCAUAGCAACCAACUUGUUUGCAAGACUCUGAAAUAGGUUUAUGUGCUCAACAAUGUUACCACCAUCUUUAUACUUCAAAUUUACAAGCCUUCUGAGGAGAGAAAUUCUAUUUCCCACUAUCUUUUUCGCAAAGAGAUUUUCUAACCUUUNNNNNNNNNNNNNNNNNNNNAUUUCCCACUAUCUUUUUCGCAAAGAGAUUUUCUAACCUUUGUCAAACAACAUCAGCUCUGAUUUUAUCUGAAAUAUUCUCAUGCAAGUUUAUAUCCAUCCAUCUUUUAAUAUAGGCAAUAGCUUUUCAAUGUUGAACUUCUCAUUCUUCAUCAUCCAUAGUAGAAGGUUUAUCUUUAACCUUGAUAGGCUUAUACAAAUCUUUGCAAUAUAGCAAAUCUUCCAUCAGACGCCUCCAAGUAGAAUAAUUUGAUGAGUUCAAUUUAAACAUAUCAUCUGACUGCUCCAUUUCAAUCACAUAAGAAAACUAGCACCAAACAACCUGAUUCUCUGAUACCACUUGUUGGGAAAAACCUAUUAAAGCGGAAUAUUCUUUUCCCUUUUUGUGUAUCAAAAUGGGUUCUUCAUCAAAAUACCAACUUGAUAUCCAAAUGUAAAUAUCAACCAGCACAGCAUAAACAAUAGAGCAAAUAAUCAAUCACACAGUGAGACCAAAUCCUUUUAACGUGGAAAACCUAAUGUGGGAAAAACCACGGGACCGUCGUCCACCUCAAACUUUCACUAUCAAUAAUAAUGAUAAUAGGUUUACAAUAGGUCCUCUCUAGAUAACUAGAGGAUCACAAUAACAUCAAGAUCAUAGAUCUUGACUCUAGCAUAGCAUAUCUUCAUCACUUAGGAUGGAUCUCCUCAUAAGAGAAUUCUGGGUCUCACAAAACGGAUAUAGCAGGAAAGUACCUUAGAGAGGAUAAAGGGUAGAUCAACACCGUUAGGAUUGUAGAGUUUGUUGCAAAGAUUCUCCACAUAAAAUUUGGGCUAAAACUGACAAUGUUUGGCCACCGAUCGUCAAGCAGAAAACUCAAAAACCUAAUCUUUCUCUCUCUAUUUCUCUCUCCUCUUUCCUCAGGACGCCGUCGCACGCUGCACUCACACACGCACACCGCACGUUGUUGUCACCCAAUUUUUCCCUUUCUCUCUUAAUUACUGAUUUGGGCUUAUGGUCCAAAUUUGUCCAAGCCCACAUAUGGGCUGGACCCUACAAUUCUCCCCCUCCAGCUCAUAUGGUGGGCUGUACCAAUCCUGCUCUUCGCUUACAUGCUUCAAGCUUCUCCUUAGGCAAAGACUUUGUCAACAUAUCUGAUCCAUUCUCAUUAGUAUGCACUCUUUCCAACUGUAAUUCUUUCAUCUCAAGCACAUCACGAAUCCAAUGAUAUCUCACAUCAAUAUGCUUGGAUCUAGAAUGAUAUGUUGAAUUCUUGGAGAGGUGAAUGGCACUCUAACUGUCACAGUAAACAAUAUAUCCUUUCUGUUUCAAGCCCAAUUCCUAUAGAAACUUUUUCAUCCAUAAAGCUUCCUUGCAGGCUUCAGUAAUUGCUAUGUAUUCUGCUUCUGUGGUUAAUAGAGCAACACACUUCUGUAACUUAGACUACCAAGAGACUGCUCCUCUUGUAAAUGUUAUCAAGAAUCCCGAAGUGGACUUCUUGGAAUCAGUAUCACCUGUCAUGUCUGCAUCUGUGUAACCUUCUAACACAGGUUCAUCAUUACCAAAACAUAAACAUAACCUGGAAGUACCUCUUAGAUAUCUUAAUAUCCAUUUCACUGAUGCCCAAUGUUCCUUUCCAGGAUUUGAGAGAAAUCGGCUGACAACUCCAACUACAUGAGCUAUAUCUGGCCUAGUACAAACAAUUGUAUACAUCAAACUGCCUACUGCAGAUGAGUAAGGCACUUUGGACAUUUCUUCUUUUUCUUUCUCACUUGUAGGACAUUGUUUCGAAUUAAGCUUGAAAUGACCUGCAAGUGGGGAACAAACUACUUUGACUUUACUCAUGUUGAAUCUUUCAAAAACCUUUUCAACGUAAGUCUCCUGAGAUAGUCAAAUCUUCCUUUUCUUCCUAUCACGAAGAAUCUUGAUACCAAGUAUUUGUUUCACCAAUCCCAAGUCUUUCAUAGCAAAAGACUUACUUAGCUCUCUUUUAAACUUUCCAAUUUUUCCAUCAUCAUGGCCAACAAUCAGCAUAUCAUGAACAUAUAGCAGUAAAAUAAUAAAAUCAUUAUCUUAAAAUUUCUUCAUAAACACACAAUGAUCAAAUGUGGUUCUAUCAAACCCUUGGCUCAUCAUAAAGGAAUCAAACUUAUUAUACCACUGUCUAGGUGCCUGUUUGACUCCAUAUAAGCUUUUCCUAAGCUUACACACCAUAUGUUUUUUUCCAUUGACUUUGAAACCUUCUGGUUGCUCCAUGUAAAUUUUGUCUUCUAAGUCACUCACCAUGAAGAAAUGCUGUUUUGACAUCAAGUUGCUCAACUUCUAAAUUCAAGCGGGCAGCUAAACCAAGAACAACUCGGAUAGAGGACAUUUUCACAACUAGAGAAAAUAUUUCUUCAAAGUCAAUACCUUUCUUCUGAAUGAAUCCUUUCACAACUAGUCGUGCCUUGUAUCUUUGUUGUGAGCUAUUGUUUUCAGUCUUCAAUUUAUAAACCCACUUAUUCUUGAGAGCUUUCUUUACUUUAGGCAAUUUUACCAAGUCAUAAAUGUGGUUCUCAAACAAGGAUCUCAUCUCUUCUUAUUCUCAUGUAGAAUAGCUUCUUUGUAAGUUUCUGCCUCCUCCGUCAGUAAGCAUAACAUACUCAUGUGGAGGAUAUCUGGUAGAUGGUUGUCGCUCUCUAGUGGAUCUUCUCAAUGGAAUCUCAACUGGUGGUGGAGGUGCUUGUUAAGUUGGUUCAGCAUCAUCAACUAUAGGUGUAUCAUCACUAGUAUUCUCACCACAAUCUUCUUUUCAUCUCCCCCAUGAUCAUCAUGAACUACAGGUGAAGGAACUGGACCUAAACUCCAAGGAAUAUAAACAGAGGUUUCUGGCUUCUCAAUAUUAUCACCAUCAUCAAACAAUUGGUCUUCAAGAAACACAACAUCUCUGCUUCUAAUAAUCUUCUUGUUCAGUGGAUCCCAUAAUCUAUACCCAAACUCUUAAUGACUAUAUCCCAAGAAGAUAUAUGCUUUUGCUUUGCUAUCAAGCUUGAACCUCUCAUCUUUGGGAAUAUGAACAAAUGUUUUACACCCAAAUACUAUUAAAUAAUUAUAAGAUAUAUCUUUUCCUCUCCAUACUCUCUCUCUAGAACAUCACCUUUCGGAGGAAUUGAUAGAGAAAGAUUUAUCAAAUCAACUGUAGUUCUCAUAGCCUCCCCCCAAAAUGACUUUGGUAACUUGGCAUGAGAAAACAUACACCUAAUACUUUCUUCAAUGGUUCUAUUCAUCCUUUCUGCCACACCGUUCUGUUGAGGAGUUUUAGGAACUGUUUUCUCAAGCCUGAUACCAUGGAACCUGCAAUAAUUCUCAAAAGGACCCCUGUACUUGCCACCAUUAUCUGAUUGAAUACAUUUUAGUUUUCUGCUAGUUUCUUUUUCAACACUAACAUUAAACUCUAUGAAAAUAUUGAGUACUUGGUCUUUAGAUUUCAAAGCAAAAGCCCACACAUUUCUAGAAUGGUCAUCAAUAAAAGUAACAAAAUAAAGAGCACCUCCAAGAGUUCUAGUUUGCAUAGUACAAACAUCAGUAUGAACUAAAUCAAUAACAUCUGAUCUUCUAGAUGAUGGAUAUGUCUGAAAUACAACUCUAUGUGUUUUUCCAGCUAAGCAAUGAUCACAAGAUUUAAGAGAUGUACCUUGCAACUCAGGUAAGAACUACUUUCUAGCAAGAGUAUGAAGUCCCUUCUCGCUGAUAUGUCCAAGCCUCGUAUGCCAAAGAUCUAUACUUUCACCUUUUUGAAUUACAUUAAUCUCUUCUUUAUGUAGCUUAGCUUCCAUAACAUAAAAAGAGUUAAUUUUCUUUUCUUUUUGCAAUAUUUAGAGAACCUUUAGUGAGUUUCCAUUUACUUUCACCAAAAUAAUGUGCAAAGCCCUCACCAUCAAGUCUGCCUGCAAAUAUCAAGUUAAGACGAAUAUCUGGAACAUGUCUUACAUCUUUGAGUAUCAAUUUGCUCCCAAUACUGGUCUCCAAGCAAAUAUCUCCAAUACCCACAAUCUUAUAUGUAUCACUGUUUCCCAUUCUAACAUUACCAAAAUCACCAGCGGUGUAAUAUCAAAAGAAAUCACCAUAAGAAGUAACAUGAAAUGAAGCACCAGAGUCAAUUACCCAAUUACUGUCCUGAGCUAUAAGAUUAACACAACCUUCAUCACAAACAAUAGUGGUAUUACCUUCAGCAGCAACUGUAUUGGUCUCUUUCUCAUUUUUCUUCAUUUCAUUCUGUUCUCGCUUCCAAAACCUACACUCUUUCUUUAUGUGACCUGGCCUAUUACAGUGAAAACAUUUGAUAUCUCUUCUAGACUUAUAUCUUCCUCUAUAUCCAUGUGGAUUUCUGCUAUGACUUCUUCCACGUCUUUCUUGUUUUUCAGUAACAAAUGCACCCGAAGAAUAUUCACCAUAUUCUUUCCUUCUGGCAUCUUCAUUUAGCAAACUGUCGUUAACCAUAUCUAUAGUUUGAGUCCCCUCUGGCGUGGAGUUACAAAUAGUCACCACAUACGUUUCCCAACUUUUUGGUAAAGAGCUGAUAAGUAAUAAUCCUUGCAUCUCCUUAUCUAUAUUCAUUUUCGUAGCAACCAACCUGUUUGCAAGACUCUGAAAUAUGUUUAUGUGCUCAAAAAUGUUACCACCAUCUUUAUACUUCAAAUUUACAAACCUUCUGAGGAGAGAAAUUCUAUUUCCCACUAUCUUUUUCGUAAAAAGAUUUUCUAACCUUUGCCAAACAACAUCAGCUCUGAUUUCAUCUGAAAUAUGCUCAUGCAAGUUUAUAUCCAUCCAUCUCUAAUAUAGGCAAUAGCUUUUCUAUGUUGAACUUCCUAUUCUUCAUCGUUCAUAGUAGAAGGUUUAUCUUUAACCUUGAUAGACUUAUACAAAUCUUUGCAAUAUAGUAAAUCUUCCAUCAGACGCCUCCAAGUGGAAUAAUUUGAUGAGUUCAAUUUAAACAUACCAUCUGACUGCUCCAUUUCAAUCACAUAAGAAAACUAGCACCAAACAACCUGAUGCUCUGAUACUACUUGUUGGGAAAAACCUAUUAAAGCGGAAUAUUAUUUUCCCUCUUUGUGUAUCAAAAUGGGUUCCUUAUCAAAAUACCAACUUGAUAUCCAAAUGUAAAUAUCAACUAGCACAGCAUAAACAAUAGAGCAAAUAAUUAAUCAUAUAGUGAGACCAAAUCUUUUUAACGUGGAAAACCCAAUGUGGGAAAAAUCACGGGACCGUAGUCCACCUCAAACUUCCACUAUCAAUAAUAAUGAUAAUAGGUUUACAAUAGGUCUUCUCUAGAUAACUAGAGGAUCACAAUAACAUCAAGAUCAUAGAUCUUGACUCUAGCAUAGUAUAGGAUGGAUCUCCUCAUAAGAGAAUUCUAGAUCUCACAAAGCGGAGAUAGCAGAAAAGUACCUUAGAAAGUAUAAACUGUAGAUCAAUACCGUUAGGAUUGUAGAGUUUGCUGCAAGGAUUCUCCAUAUAAAAUUUGGGCCAAAACUGACAACGUUUGACCACCGAUCGUCUAAAUAGAAAACUUAAAAACCUAAUCUUUCUCUCUCCUCUUUUCUCAACACGUCGCCGCACGCUGUACUCACACAGCACACCGGAUGUCGCUGUCACCCAAUUUUGUCUUUGCUCUCUUAAUUAUGAUUUGAGCUUAUGACCCAAAUUUAUUCAAGCCCACGUAUGGGCUGAACCCAAUAUAUAUAUAUAUAUAUAUAUAUAUAUAUAUAUAUAUAUAUAUAUAUAUAUAUAUAUAUAUAUAUAUAUAUAUAUAUAUAUAUUCUUUUUUUUUCCUUCACUUUGCGCGCCGCCGCUGCUGCACACGUUCGCUGCCCUGCCGCUGCACCCUCUCUCCUGCACAAACGCUGCUCUAUCUCAAAACCCUUUUCGUUUGCUUUUAAUUACUGAUUUAAGGUUCAGAAAGCCCAAUUGUCCGAGCCCAAUUGUCAGGAAGAAGGACCACUGGAGAUGGCAAGUCCUUUAGGGAGCGUGAGGAGCAAGAUGCGCUUCGAUCGUUAGCGCACGUCUGGAAGUGAUGAGGUGGGUGGGGGUGGCGCAUUUGGCAUCGAGCGCCAUGGCUGCCAUGGACGAAGCUUGUGUUGCUGCGUUGGUCAACGUUUGCGGGACACUUCGGAUUUAAUGUAUCCAAUUGGAUGGUGCCUUUAGAUUCUCACGUUAGCCAGCUGGGCUUUCGCAUCACCUCAUAGCUCGUCUGUCUCAUCCCAGACAGGAUUCAAGAUCGUAGGGCCUUUUCAUCGGUCAUAAAUGCGGGACCCACCACCUCGGGACUUUUGUUUGCUUCGUACUAAUUAUAAUCUCAAUUUGGGUUUGGAAUUAUAAAUGAUGGCUUACUUCCAAAUCUCAUUUACUAUCUAACAUUGUCUUAAUAAUUUUAAUCCUUACCAUAUGCCUUGAUCUUUUGGGGAUUCUAAACCCCUCGUCGCACAUGCCAAUAGAAUCUUAAACCUACUUCAUCUCAUCUAAAUUAAUCUCAAAUUCCUAUUCUUUAAUCUAAAGUUUUAUUAAGUUGAAUACUCUAAUUCAGUUACAUCCAAACUGUCGGUCUUAAACUAUAAAUAUAUACUAUAUUAUUGAAAGGCACAAUUUCUUUUACCAUAUGGUAACUUUUUCAAUUAAGAUUUUUAUACAUUAAAUAAUUUAUGUUAUAUUAAAUAUCAAAAAUUAAUUAGGAGUGUUUUUUUUUGUCUUUUUUUGCUAGCUGGGAACCUAUGAUCUGAACUUUAAUAUUUUUUUCCCUUAAUUUUAAGAAUUAAUAGCUUAAAACGAAUCAAAUUUGAGACAAACCAAGAAAAAAAAAACCUACCAUCCAUGAGAUUAAAUAUAUAUAUAUAUAUAUAUAUAUAUAUAUUAUAUUCCUUGAAAUGCUUGAUUGACAUUAACGUUCUCUCGUUGGAUUUUACCCUUGAAAGUAAAUUAUUCGUGAGCAAGAAUAAGCUCUAUAAUAUGAUGGUGGCCACCCCGAGAAGGAACUCAACAUAGAUCAAUCAAUCACUCGUAAGCAACAGCCGAAUGAAGCCGAAACCUUCGAAACAAAUAUCUUGUUCGGUCCCACCUCAAUGAUCUCGUUGAUCCUCACCAACCAUCAUCAUAUUUAUUCCGACUGUUUUAGUCCUAACCGACCAUGUGUUUGUUAUUAUGUCAGCCCAUGAAUCAGGCAUAGCAUGUCGCCCACCCCAUGUGCUCUGCCGCACUCACUCCCCCGUAAAACCCGCCACAAUAAGCUCCAUCCCGCAUCAAUCGCUAUUCUACUCAAACGUCUACAGGGCUUAUAUCCCCUUCAGCAAACAAGCUCACCAACAUCAAUUAAAGUUGUCAUUUCUUUCCUGGCCCUCACAAAGAAGCUCAUCGCAGCCAUUCCUUUCUCGUUUCUUAAGCCAUAAAAGAACCUCUCCUCCAUCAAUGACCUCCUUAUCCUGAUGCACGCCUAUAAAGCACGUCCAACCCCUCUCCCUCUCUUCCUCUCCAUCCAUAUACAGCUCAAAGUCUUCCAAGCUGUGUCCGCACAAAGCCAAGAAGAAUGAUCAAGCUGAGAUCAAGGAAGCUCUUCAAGAGGAGCUCCAAGCUCGGCAGCAGCACCGGUGGCUGCAGCGGGAACGGGGAUGUCCAGUGGGAGCUGCGGCCCGGUGGCAUGUUGGUUCAGAAGAGAGGAUGCGGAGAGGAAGCUGAUGAAGUGGUGACGGUGAGAAUCUCCACUGGAUGGAAUUGGCAUGACGUAUCUAUCGGAGCCACUGCCUCAUUCGGUACGCCAAUUAAUGCUCUCAGCCUCUGUUACGCGUUUUCUCCAUCUUCUUGUUACCUACCUGAGCUUCCAUGUGGUGUUGCAGGGGAGUUGAAGACGGUGGUGGCGAUGGUGACAGGAAUGGAGCCAAGGGAGCAGAGGCUUCUGUUCAGGGGCAAGGAGAGAGAGGAUGGCGAUCAUCUUCACAUGGUGGGUGUUAGGGACAAGGACAAGGUGCUGCUUUUGGAGGAUCCUGCAAUCAAAGAAAGGAAGCUGAGGGACAUGGCAGGAAGUCAUGUGGUGAGCAGCAGGCCAUGCCACGCCAUUAUCGAGGUGUAGAGCUUUUGCCCCUUUUGUCUCUGUCAGAACCACUAACAACAUGAGAAUUAAGGUCUUCGAGGCCAAACUCAUCCUUCACCGAGUACUAGUGUGAUGAGUGAGUCAUCUGUAAAGUAGAUGUCGAGAAGCUUCCUCAACCAUCAGAGUUGCAUUCCAAAGUAAUUUUGAUGUUGUGAAACGGAAACUCGUUUACCUUAACUUGAGUUGGUGGGACAUCACCUCAUAUUCUUGUACUGAGGAACCUGGUAAAAAUAAAAAGAAACUGAGGUUUCAUCUAAAGCAGGAUUCACAAACUACUAUUUCAGAUUGUUAUUUACAAUUUUUCUUUUAGAGAGAGAAACAGGCUAAUCCAAUUUACCUAAAUUUUUAAUUGUAAGAUUCACUCUGGAAAAUGUAUAAACCAAGUUUUUUGUUUACAUAUGGAAUAUGAUGCAAAUGAUUUUUGAGUGUGUUCGUUUUAUAAGCUCUUUACGUGUACAUGAGAAUGCGUUGACCAAGAGAUCAAAGACUUGGUUAGUAUAGCAUAGUAAAACAUAUCCACUGUUUGUGCUAUGGUUUCAUUUUUUCCGAUCGUCUUAAUGUCGUGUUAAAUAAAUUGUUGGCUUUACAUCUGAAUUAGUCAAAAGCUAACCAACCAACGAUUAACUUUCUAGGAGAUAAAAUUAAAUUAUAUUUGGCAUGAUCAAUUUUGAUCAUCCACUCCACGUGGUAAAAUUGAUAUUGGGUAUUAUCACAUCAAGAAAGAGGGAGAAAAAAAAAAAACAAUUCUUGAGAGAUGUGAAACUCGAUCUACCAAGAAUUUUACUUGAAUGGUAUAUCAGAUCUUCUAAUAAUUAAAUUAGUUUCUGUUCAUUAGUCAUGAGCGAAAAAUGCUUCCAACCAGUUUUAAGUUUUAAAUUUCUGUUUAUCUAAUGAUCGCCGGUUAAUAAAGAGAAUUUAGGCAUUAUGUCGAUAAAGCAUGUCUAACGGAUUUUUUUUUUUUUUGUUAUAUGUGGAAGCCAUCAUGACAUUCUCCAUAUGUCAAAUCCUAAUAAAUAAUAAUAAUAUAUUUUUAUGUAAAAAAUAAUUUUCUUAUAUAUGUCUAAUUUAACUUUAUUAUAUUAUUGUAAAAUAUAUGAAAUUUACAUAAUAUAAAUAAAAUAAAUAAAUAUACAUGUAUGUAUACGUAAUAUAUGUCUUCAUUACUUCAUUAAUUAACCAUCACUUGUCUGCGAGAGCAAAGACGCUCAAGUUUGAUAUAUAAAAAAAGCAAGAACAUUUCAGUAAUUUCCAUAUUGAAAAUGUUUCUAAAAUCUAAAUAUUUGCAAAUUUUCAUUAGACUUGAGAUAGUCUUUUAUCCAAAUUUGCGAUCGAUAUCGGUGGUGUUUUUCUAAUAAUAAUAGAAAUUCAUGUAAUCGAAUAGUUUAAGACUUUGUAAUAUUUGGAAAAUCAAAGAGCGUUAGUAUUUAUGUAAAGAUAAUCUUGGAAUCUUUGGAAAUGAAGUGAACCGCAUGCGAAAUUUACUGCACGGAUGCUCACGUGCAUUAAAUACGACGAGUGGUUAUAGAUAUAUGUUGGACCAAACACACUGAAGUGGGCAGCACGUGCGGCCCGCGUCGCUUACGAUUCCGGAAUCGACAAGGAACCCACAGAUCGAAGGAAACCACUUCCACGCUGCCGCCGCCGACGCGACCGCCACCAGUCCCCGCGACUAGGGCAGAGAAGACGAAGCGAUGCCGCCGAUAAGAACGGGGAAGCGGCUUCGGUCGGCGGAGGCGGAGGAUGGGGGGUUCCCCUCGAGGACGCGCAGCGGCGGCCGGAGGCCCCCCCCCGUCCAGAGCUCCCCACAGCUCGACUUCCCCGAUAAGUGCCGCUCUAAGCACUUGGAUGCAAACGUAUGGGUGACCCUUUCGUCACUUCCCAUUCUAUUCGGCUUCUGUUUCCGUGUUCUUGGUCUUUGCCCUCUUUCUCAGCCUGAAUUUCUUGGAUACAAUGCGGAGAAAGCAUAUGCUCUAUUAAUAUGCUCAAAUGAAGGCCUUCUUCUUCGUCUUCUACUUUUCCUUUCUUGGUCUCGCUGUAGUUUUAGCUACAGCUUCGGUGCGGAGUAUGGAUUCUUUGGGUAUUUAUAGUCCAACAUAUUUGGUGAUUGGAUUUAACAGGGGAAUCCAGUGGAAUCCACAAUGUGCCACCAGUGCCAGCGGAAUGAUAAGGGUAGGGUUGUUCGUUGUACAAAGUGCCGGUCGAAGCGAUAUUGCAUCCCAUGCAUUACGAGAUGGUAUUUUUCUAACGCAUCCUUUUUUGUUUUUGGUUAUUGAAGAGCAUUUUUGGAUUUAAUCGUAACAUAUUAGUUUGCGUUUAUUAGUUGCCUUUCAAUACGAUGCAUGAUGCGGUUGUCAUCAAUGUGGAAGUUAGUUCUUACAACAUGAAGUGGGAGAAAGAGGGUCUUAUGUUUCACUCUUUUUUCGGGGGAAGGGAGGGACUGCCUAUGAGUUUAUAUAUACACAUACACACAUUGAUAAAUAUGAUAGCUAUCUAAUUAUGGAAAUUAGCUUUCAUACUGUCACCCAUACGUGACAUUUAUACAUGUAUGGUUGGCACAACACAACAAAUAGUUGUGUCAACAUCCUAUGCUGGUAGCAAAAAAGGAAAAAAAAGGUUUGCUACACUUAGCUCAUACAAGAAAAAAGAGCAUGGCAGAACUGUAACAUACAUAAUAGAAAGAAUUAAAAAGUUAGAAAAUAAAAUACAUGUAUUAUUUGAUUUUUUUUCAAAUUCAAGGAGGUUAAAUUAAGUUUGUGUUUGAUGCAAUGGACGUCACAAGAGCGAUAAAUAAGAGCAAAAUGGCCUCUUAAUCAAUUCACUAAAUUAGUAUAGCAUUGUGUGCAUUAACAUUUUAGAAAUGGUUGAUAGACCUGGAGUUUGAUGAAAUUUUAUCUAAACGUAUAUAAAUUAAACAACUCCUCUGAUGCUUCCAAAGGAAAAUGAUGAUUAAGAUUUAAAAUACUCAAAAGGGCCUUGGUUUGUGGACAGUUGAAUUAUGAAUUGGACCACUAGAUCUGGUUGGUCAUUUGAGUCUUUAUAUCAUAAAUAAUAUAUAUAACCUGCUUGUUGAUCAUCGGAACAAAAAAUAAAUAUUAAAAAAGUGCUAGAUAUUUAGACAUACGGACAUGUAGUUCAUCCUUUCAAUUGCCAAAUUUCAGAUAUGAAUCCUAAAAUUCAAUUAAAUACAAAAGAAAAGAAGGUGCAUAAUCAUAUUAGUUAAAGAAACAGAAACAAGUGGGGCGGGGUGCGGGGGAUGGAGAGCGAGAGAGAGAGAGAGAGAGAGAGAGAGAGAGAGAGAGAGAGAGCACAUGCAUGGAUGUCAACAAGUCAUUCACCUCACAGAAAUGAGCUAACUCUUCUGCAUUGUCGCAUCACAUGGUCCAAAUAGCCCAUUGAAUUCCAGCACAAAUUAGACCUUCCUCAGUCCUUUGAAUUUUUCACGAACUAUAUCUUUUCAAUCUUCAACUUAAUUUAAACAUAUGUUGAGCCCAUACAUACCUCACAUACUGCACCGUUAUGCUUGUUUUGUGAUUGAGGUAGUGAGGCACUUAUUCUGUUCUCUAUCCAAAAUCAAAAUAUGUUAUGUUGCAUGCUCGUGGGAAUGGGUCAGGUUGGAUUGUGGUUGGGGGUAAUGGUAGAUGACUUGCAUAACUUGGCUUGACUAACUAUUGGCAAGGGAUUCUUACCACUGAACCUGUUGAAAUGGUAAAAGUUUCUUUUCUUUUCCCUUCUUUAUAAGGAAUUUGGAAAUGAAAAGUGGAAUAGACAGUAGGAGUUUUUUCCUUUCUACUUUGUGGGGAUUGUGGAUGUGCAUGCAAUUAAUGGAGCCAAUAAAUGAUUACUCUGGAAGGGGCAGUUAUUGCUAAUCCUCUUUCUGUGGAAGUCCUUGUUUUAGAUUUUUGCAAAAUUAAAGUUUACUUGAUUAAAAAAUUGAGGGGCUCUUUGUAAUGUCUGGAAAGCUCUUAUGCAUAAAUUGAUGCUUCAUAGGAUCAUAUGAACCCACUUCACCCAUAAGGGCUGAACUUCAAUAGGAAUGUAAUUUGAAGCUCUACUGCUGCCUUAUCCCAUUCUGGUGGUAAAUUUAAAUUAAAUCUUCUUCUUUUUAAGGUUUCAUAGACUUGAUUCCAUAUUUAUAAAACUGUUUUCUUCACAAUAAUUUAAUUACCCAUAAAAAGUUCUCCAAAUAUUUUAUAUUUCUAUAAUAACUGUCUUUCAAUGUGUAUUCAGUGUUAUUAAGUAUUUUUGCAUGCUAGCACAGUUGACUAUUUAGUCAAUUAUACCCAACCUAGAUAUGGUAAGUUUUGGUUGUCCAAUCUAACACUGAAUGCAAUCCUUUCAUCAAGCAUCCUGCAGUUUGUAUGACUUAUCCUAACUGUGGUCAGUGGAACUUCUCAGAACUUAACAGGCAGUGGUACACCCAAGUUCUUAAUUGUAGUUCUCGAUGUUUAUUUUCCUGUAAUUGUGUGCUUAACUUGCAAAAUGGGUGCUACGGAUUUGAUGCAAUAUUUUGUAGGGUGAUAUCUGGUUUUAAAUAAUUACAACUUCUGUGAUUAUUAGUUUUAAGCAUACUUAGCAUAACUAAAGUUAAUUAUUAAAAUGUAGGUAUUCUCAAUUAACUGAGGAGGCAAUUUCUGAGGCUUGCCCAGUUUGUCGAGGAAAUUGCAAUUGCAAAGCAUGCUUGCGCAUGGAUGGAUCAUUGAAAGUCCGUUAUUUUGCCAGAUUCCUCUGCUUGCCCUAUUUAUUUCAUUGUUAUGUGUGUUUACUGAGGACUGAUAAUCUAUAUUGGUACUUUGUUGCAGGAUUUGUUGAAAUUUGGUGUAGAAUUUAGUGACGAUGAAAAGUUACAAUACUCUGCUUACCUUCUCCAAUUGCUUCUUCCAGUCGCCCAAAAAAUAAAUCAAGAACAAGUGUUAGAAAAGGAAUUGGAAGCAAAGAAUCAAGGUUUUUCUAUUAUAUUUUUGUAAAAUAUUUGGCAUUUUUGCCCUAUGCUUAAUUCAGUCUGGAUUAGGACCAUAGAUGGUCAGAUUUAGAUUGGAUCAGGGUUUUGUCCGAACCUGGUUGGACUGAUAGGUAAAAACUGUGUGUGCCAUUGCCAUUAUCAUUAACCUUUUAUUGUCAAUUAUAUUAUUUAAGCAGUAAAUGAAAUAAUAUAUUAUUCUACUUGACUAAAUCAUAAAUGGUUUGAUCAGGUUCAACAAUAUUAAAUUGCAAUAUGAUAAUCAGAUUGGAUUAAGACUUUGUUUGUUAAAUCAAAAUGUUUAUUAUGUCUUUGGCUUACAUCAUAUCUGGAUAUGGUCGUGUCCUAUGAUUUACAGAUCUACUUUGGAUGAUGAUGAUGAUGCAAAUGAAGAAAAGCUGAUUAUUUUUGUUGGACUUUCAUUUGACCAUUACUUGCACUCCUAGAUAACAUUAGUAAUUCAGGAAUCUAUGGCUGAUUUCCUGGAGCUUUAGUUGAAUGCCUGUGUUGUUUAAUGCACUCCUAGAGAACAUGAUGGUUGAUAGUGAUACUCUCUGCCUUUGUUGUUUAAUGCCUUCAAUAUCUCUGGAUUUGUCACUGGAUAGAUGAGGAUAGUCACAAAAGUGGCUUUACAUCCAUAUUUUGGUGGACGAUUGCUAACAUGUGAACAACACUCCAGUCUUUUUGUUGAAAACUUUUAGUUGCCUAAUCUUUGGUAACUUCAUGCUGGUACAGGUUUAUCUCUAUCAGAUUUUAAGCUUCAGGAAGCAUGUUGGAAUGCUGAUGAACGCGCAUAUUGGUAUGCAGAACAUAUCCUUUUUUAAAAUAUAUUUUGGAAUAUAUAGGGAAGUUAAUGCCAUGGUGUUUCCUGCAGCAACAAUUGUAGAACUUCUAUUUAUGAUUACCACAGAAGCUGCCCAAACUGUUCAUAUGAUCUCUGUCUUACUUGUUGUCGGGAGCUUCGUGAGGGCCAUCUACAGGGAGGUGGAGUGGAAGAAGUUGAAUAUGCCGAUAAUGGGUUUGACUAUUUGCAUGGUAAAUAUUCUUGUGCUCAUUUCCCAGAAGGUAGAAAAGACUUGGAAGGAAUCUCUGAGGACAAAUUUAGGUCAAUAUCAGAGUGGAAAACACAGAGCGAUGGUAGCAUUCCUUGCCCCCCGCAGUCUAUGGGUGGCUGUGGAAGUGGCAUUCUAGAAUUAAGGACUCUGUUUCCUGAUGGUUGGGUUUCAGACUUGGUAUUGAAAGCAGAAGAACUUGUUCAUACCUACAGAUGUAUGAAUAUCACUAGAGUUUUGGAACAGGGAUGCUCUUGUUUCACAUCAGAAGGUGUGGUUGACCAUGGCAAUGAUUCAGCAAGAAAAGCUGCCUCCCGUGAUGAUAUGAGUGACAAUUAUUUGUACAGUCCAAAUGCUCUGGAUAUUCAAAAUGAGGAUCUGAAGCAUUUCCAAUGCCACUGGGUUAAGGGUGAACCUAUAAUUGUAACCAAUGUGCUGGAAACGACAUCUGGUCUGAGUUGGGAACCAAUGGUGAUGUGGCGUGCAUUUCGCCAGAUUACAAAUAUCAAACAUGGUCAACACUUGGAUGUAAUUGCCAUUGAUUGUUUGGACUUGUCUGAGGUCAGUUCAUUUGUUUUCAUUGGUAAUAUGAGAUUGUAUAUGUGACCAUAGUGCAUUGUUAAAAUGAAACAUUUUAUUGAUAUCUCUUGAGGAGAGUUUUGAAUCUUAUUUGCAGAAAUCAAAACUUUUCCAGUUCACAAAAGAUGCCUAGGUUCUGAUAUGUAUAUGUAUAUAUGUGCAUAAUGAGCAAAAAUGUAGUUAGCAGUUAUAUUGGUACAUCAAUAAUUUUCACUUCUCGUGCUAAUAUGAUGUUGCAGGUUGAUGUGAAUAUUCAUCAAUUUUUUAAGGGGUAUUCAGAGGGCCGAUUUGACUCUUAUGGGUGGCCUCAGAUACUAAAAUUGAAAGACUGGCCACCAUCUAACUCAUUUGAGGAGCGGUUGCCACGCCAUGGGGCUGAGUUUGUCAAGUUGUUGCCUUUUAAGGAGUAUACACAUCCGUUCAUAAAAAAGGAGAAGCAUAAAAAGAAGAAAAAACCUAAGGAGCAGAAGCAUAACAACAAGAAAACACAAAAGGAGCAUAAACAUUAUCGAUAUGGUUUUCUUAAUCUUGCUGUCAAAUUGCCUAAGGAUGGACUGAAGCCAGACUUGGGGCCAAAGACAUACAUUGCGUAUGGGUUUAUACAAGAGUUAGGUCGUGGAGAUUCAAUCACUAAGCUUCACUGUGAUAUGUCUGAUGCAGUAUGUAUAGCUUCUUAAUUACUUUCUCUGAUUUGAUCUUUUGUCAUCUUAAGUUUUGGAGUUACAUGUGGGUAUCAAAUGAGACUAUCUGCCUCGUGUGGUCUCAUCUGAUAUGAUGAUUGGAAGCUUCAUAAAAUUGAGAAAACAAGAACGGUUAGUGAUGACAAUUGGAGGCGAUGUGACCUUUCCUUGACACUGCUUGCUUGAACUAUUUUCAGGAAAAUACUGUAUUUUGUUUUGGCUAUGAGUAGCUCAGUGCAAAUUGAUAAAUCCUUUCAUAUAAUUAUAUUUUUAUAGUAUUUUUUGAUUCGUUUACUUUUCUACAACAAGAAGGUUUUCUCAUUAUAUUGCAUCAUGGUUGUAAUUUCUAUUCAGGAAGGUUUAAAAGGAAUAUUAUGGGAUGGCUUAUUCCAAGUACUAUAAAAACUUAAUUAUAUCCUGUUGUGUUUCUCUUGAUUGUUUAUGUGAUUAUGAUACUUCAUUUCUUUCAAUUACUUUGUAAAAUGGUUUCGAUCUGGAUGUUUGAACUGUCUGAUAAUUUUAAAUACCCAAAUUUCUAACUGCUUAAAUUGUCUGGCAGAAUAAAUUCAAUUAAUUUAAAUCAUCACAGAUUAGAUACCUAAGUUACAACAAUUAUGCCACUUUGCAGAUUAAAAAUGCUCUACUAAUGUGGUCCAUCUCUUGUCAUUAGUAUCCUGUAGAAGGUUUCAUAAUCACUUCUCAAGACCUGGUUGGUCAAACUUAUCACGAGCAAUGAAUACCACAUCCUAAAUUUGUUGUAUUUCACUCUAUUUGCUCAACAUUUUGUUAUUGGUAGGGUAUUUUUACAUUGUGUGGGACCUUUGGGUUACAAUAACAUAUUUUGAGAUUGAGAAAACUAGCACUAUAAAGCACUGAUAUUGUUCCAGGCACAUAUAUGAUUUAUUUUAUUCAGCUUUCACAUUGGCCUUGAUGUUGUUUCAAAUCUCACCAAUCUGUUGAUUUUUUGUUUAUAUUUUGUGCAUUACACUCUUUGAAUGAACCAUUUUCAGUUAAAUGAUCUUGCUUAUUUGAAUAUUCAAAUGGUUAAUUCUCAGGUGAACAUUCUGACACAUACAGAGGAGGUUACUCUAACUGCUGAGCAACUUAAAUGUGUAAACGAGUUGAAAAAACAGCAUGCUGCCCAGGAUCAAGUAGAAUUAUAUAAUAAUUUUCAGAGAGAUAAUGAUGUGACGGGGAUGCAACAAACAGCCCCUUCGAAGAAGUUUAAGCCAGAUCCAGAUUGUAUUGCCUUUGAUAAUGAUGAAGCUCGUCUGAUGCUGGAAAAUCAUGACCAUCUUAAUGGUUCAUAUAAUGAUCAAAAGACUAGGAUGACUGACAAUACGGUGGCUGAUAAUCUGGAUGUAUUUAUGGAUCAGGAUGAAAAAAGUGAACCUUGUUGUCCAACAAAAGAAAAAUCUCAUUGCAAUCUGGCUAGUGAAUGUGGAACGACAGUUGAUAAGAAGACAAUGCUUCAAUAUGAGAGGAAGGGACGAAAGCCUUGUGGAGGAAAGUCCAGGAAAGGUCAUAUUAAUGAUCAACCGGAUCAAACUGAUCCUGAGGAAGUGGCAAUUAGGGUUGAUGCCAUAGCAGGUACAAAUGUCCGUGAAAGUCCAUCUGGUGUUCCUCAAAAUGGCAAGGAGUCAUUGCUUAAUAGAGUUACACCUCUUAAUAGUAGUGUACCUUCCCUAACUUCAGACUUUGAAGGGUUAGAAUAUGCAGAGGGAGGUGCUUUGUGGGACAUUUUCAGGAGGCAAGAUGUUCCAAAGUUGCAUGAAUUUCUUAUGAAGCACUUCAGAGAAUUUAGGCAUAUCCAUUGUUCUCCAUUACACCAGGUACAACAAAUUCCAGCCAAUACUGAAGCACCUAGAUUUUAAACAUAAGUACAAAAUGUGUUUGAAUUGUUUUAAUAUGCUAUAUUUUCAUUAUGUUUUAGUCUUGAAUGAUUAUGGACAAUAGAUAUCUUAUUGUUUUGUACAUAUGAAAAUGUAAUCACUUCAUUUCUAUAGUUCUUUAUAUUGACACUUUAGUCAUAGAUUCUUCGAUAAUUGGCCAGUUUGAAACCCUUUGAAGGUAGUUACACAUCUCUUUAGCAAAUAGACUAUUAUUUUGAUCUUAUUUGAUUUUCUUGUGAUAUCUUUGUAUUAUUGCAAAAGGGAGCCCCAAAGAUUUGUAGGUUGAUGUAGGAGUUCUAAUAAUGCAAAAUUGGUGAUAAUACAUGUGGCAGCGGUCAUCGAGGUAUUAGACAAGGGAUCCGUUGUCACCCUAUUUGUUUAUUCUUGUUUAAAACUGCUAUCUAGUCUCAUUGAUAAUUUGGUGGACUGUAAUCUCCUCUCUGCUUCAAUAGCAAAGGGCUUAAGGUUUCUCAUUUGAUUUUUGCUGAUGACAUUCUCAUUGUGGUUAGAGCCGGCCCUAAAAUCUGCGCUUCUUUAGAAAAUCUAUUGGAGUUUUAUUCCUCCCUCGUUAAUUUCAGGAUUAACAAAGCUAAAUCUGAAUUGUUUUUUCCAAAAUAGUGUAACCCAUCUAUCAAACAUUGUGUUUUGAUAUUAAGGACGAUUCCUCGCCUUUUAAGUACGUUGGAACUUAUCCUAUGGUAAAAUCCUUGUCUCUCUUCAACAGAACCUUGUGGACAAAGUGUUGAACAAAAUCCAAGGCUAGCAUCAGAAUUAUAUAAUUCUCAAGUUGACUAGUUGGUUCUUAUUAUCUCUGUUACCAAUACCAUUCUCAUGUACUCGUUACUUAAUUCUAAUGUCUCUCCUUCAGCUCUUGUCCAAAUUUGUUAGGGAAUUUUUUUUGGAAGAAAUCUCCUAAUUCCAAAGGGUUAGCUUCAUCAGCUAGGAGAGAGUGACCUCUCAUAAAACUGCAGGGGUCUUGGAGUUUGGAAUCUCACAGUAACCAUGGAUUUUAUUUGUGAUAAGAGACUCCUUUCGUUCUUGAAUAAGGAGAAUAAUUUGUGGAAGAAGGUUCUUACCUCAGUAUGGGGUAGUGAACCCUUGUGUCACGGACUUAGCUGGUUUUGCCUAAGUCGUGUGGCACCCUUGCGUGUCAGUCCGCAAAGGUCAGUCUCCCCGAAGCCUCUCAUGGUCCCUUAGGAUCCACAAAAGAGAAAACGGGUUAGAGAAAACGCCUCACUCGGGAUCCACAAGCAAAUAUUUCUGAAAACACUUCAUAAACAAUGCAAAUUACAAACAUACUUUACAAGCUUUGAACAGUUGCACAAUAAAAUGUCAAAAUGAUCCACUACAGAUCGAAAAUCUCUCACAAGUGUCCAUAUGACACAACCUUUAUUUAUAAGCCUAAAGCGGCCACCAAAUUUAACUAAAAUGGGACUAUUAAGCCUUCGGUUGUCCCUCUACAUGCUAGGCAAAGCAUGAACAUACCAAAAGACACGAACAUACAUAAGCAUUACAUCAAACAUCCUGUUUAGAAGUUUGUCCGUGACACUUGGGCAAGUUGCUAUGAACAAACCUAGUGCAUCUUUUAGUUGGAAAAACUUACUGCAUCACUCUCACAAUUUUGAGAGGGGGAUCUUGUAAGCUUAUUGGUAAUGGUCGAAUCGUUUGAGUUUGGGACGAUCAUGGUUAGAAAAUAUCCUUUUCGGUAAAUGACCCACUUAUUGCAAUUUUGGUUUUGUGCAUUAUUUUGAGAAAGUUUCGAAGAUUCUUCCUGGAAACUGCAUGAUCUUAAUUUGUGCUUUCAUUUGCUCCUGGUUUGUAGGAUGCUUGGUAUUCAUGUUUCCAACAUCCCCAAGGAGGAUUCUUGGAUUUUGGUCUUUUCCUCCUAGUGGUCCUGUCAGAUCACCUGUUUAGAGAGACAAAAUUGAUGAUAGCUUUUUGCUUGGUUGGAAGGUGAUGUGGAAUCUGAACAUCCAACCCAAAAUUAGUCUUUCUAUGGAAACUAUUGUGGAACAUAUUUCCCACUUCAUCUUAUCUUUCCAAGUCCCUACAUCGUCAAUCGUCUCAUGUCCUCUGUGUAAUUUGUUUUUUGACAGUCUCCCAUAUUUUCUUUGAAUACAAAAUCACCUUAGAGUUGUGGGAUAAGGUUCAGUGCCAUGUUGGGGUGGGUUUCAUGUUCUUCUAGAAUUGGGCAUAUGGGGCCUGGCUUGAAGAAGGGGGGAAUCUGGGGUCGCCUACUGUUGCCUAUCUAAUGCCUAUAGUAGAUAGCCUUGUUGCAACAUCCUUGUGUGGUUGGCUCGGAAUGAUGCCCACUUUCGCAAUUACCAGACCAAUAGUAUAUCUAUAUGGAGGAAGGUAGUGGCCACUACUAAUGACCAAUUACAUUUUACCAAGAUUGCUUAGGGGAUUCAAAAUAGUCUUUGUUCAGUUAGAAAUAUUGAGUGAGUGCUGGGAGGGUUUCCUUUUAGCUUGUAAUGGCUCUUAUGACUUGGUUUCUGGCAGUGCAGGUGUGGGCUAUUCCCUGAAGGAUGAGCAGGGACGAUUGGUGGCUCUGGGGUUUGUUGACAGCCACAUGAGUUCGCUCAUUCAAGCUGAAGGGGCUGUGCUGGUAGCAGGGCUAAAGCAUGCAAAGAGGCUGAAUCUAACUUACCUAAGGAUACAUUCAGAUAGUUAGAAUCUUAUAAAGAUUUUCAUGGGAGCUACACCUGCUCCUUGGCCUAUUCGGUCUAUCACUGACGAUAUCAAACAGUUGGCUGGUGGGGCCAAUCCAACUGAGUUUACCCAUGCACCUAGAGCAAGUCUUCCUUUUAUACAUAAGCUGGCCUAGAUUGGGAUGGUUUGGUUGGAGAUUGUCCUCCUCCAAGUUUUGUUCUGUCUGAUCAACAUGAGUAAUUGUUUCCUUUAAAAGAAAAACAUGUGGAAGGGAUCAGUUACUCCUAACUCAUUGUUUCUUCUGAUAUUUAUUUCAUUAUGCAAUAUGUGGUACAUGCCUAUAAAAAGUAUAUGGUAGAUGAUGUCUUGCUGUUGAUAAUACAGGUUACUCAUCCAAUUCAUGACCAAACAUUUUACUUGACUUUGGAGCACAAACGGAAGCUCAAGGAAGAAUAUGGUCGGUUGAUGGAUAGUCAGUCUAUUUUCGAGAGAUAUCUAUGUUUAGUUCUUUCAUGAUGUUAGCUGCUAUUUAUUUAAAUUGGCGCAGGAAUUGAGCCAUGGACAUUUGUUCAGAAACUUGGAGAUGCUGUUUUUAUUCCUGCUGGUUGCCCCCAUCAAGUUAGAAAUUUGAAGGUAAUAUGCAAUCUAUACAUUUGUUCGAAAUUCUAUAUUCACAUACAUUUACGAAAGUGUACAAUAGAUGAAUUUGAACUUUGCAUGUGCAAUAAAUGAACAGAAACUCAUGUGGCACAAGCUGCCCAACAGCUUGAAAACACCAAAACUGUAAGGGAGUCUGUUACUGUUCCAAUCUAUUUUGAUGUUCAUGUUAAGCAACCCACUCCAAUUUUUUUGACUGCUUUAUGAUCUGACACUCUUUAUUGAACUACUCAUGUUUUAUAUACUAUAUAUGAGACGUGAAAGUCAACGGAGAUGACUCCUUUGUAUGGUUAUGUGCUUAAAUGUGAAUCCUUUUUUUGUUUUACUGUGAAAAAUAGAACAUCAAAUUAAUUCUCGCUUGAUAGAUGGACAUUCCUGAAUUAACUAGGGUUACCUUUUACGUCUCUUCUGAUGUUUUUCUUUUCCCUCUUAAAAGUCAUGCAUAAAAGUUGCCCUCGACUUUGUCUCUCCCGAAAACAUCAAGGAGUGUGUCCAUCUGGCUGAUGAAAUUCGUGUGCUUCCAACCAAUCACCGGGGGAAGGAAGAUAAACUAGAGGUAUUUUUUCUGUCAAUAAUUUGUUGCUUGGUAGUUUUAUCACAUGAGCUUUAAUUAAAGCGAUCAUGACUGAUGUAUUUAGUGCCAACAAUUGUUUCCCCUUUCUCAUAUCCUGGCAGUGCCACUGGUUUAAGUUUUAGCUAGAGUUUGACAUGAACAGGUUCAAGAACCCUGCAAACAUCUGUAUAAAAUGCUAAUACAAUGAAUUCCGCAUUCCUAUUUUUUGUCAGCAAUUACACUAUGAAACAUGGUGUUUGAAAAAUGUUAUUUGUGCAGGUGAAGAAAAUGGUAAUCUAUGCAGUGCAGCAGGUCAUUAAAGAUUUAGAGGAGUUGGGCAGGUGAGUGAUAAAUCAUGCUUUGAGCUAAAUGAUCUUUUUCCCUUCUUUUGGAAAAUUAAACAACUUUGCUUUGCCUUGUAUGAUCAUAUAUAUAUAUAUAUAUAUUUAUUCUUUUUUCCUCUAUUAUUGCAGCUUAUGAGAAAAAAAGGGCGACAUCGUCUGCACAGGAACAUGUUAAUUUUGAUGAAAGGAACAUGCCUAUUUUUGGGGGUUUUUUUUUGGGGUUUCCCUAACCAGUUUAUGUACAUCGAUCAAACUUUCUAUCACUAAAUCAACUAUCUAUGAUUUAGGUUAAGAAAUACAAUACUGCACUACAUUUUUGUUCCCACCGCUUGCAAGUUGGUGGCGUAGAUCGUGACGCGUGUCUUUUAAUAUUUUAUGUAUAUAUAACUCCAAAAAGAAUUUAUAGCACUCGUAGAUGUUGCAUCCACGUGUAUUGCGAUUUGGUCUAAGAGCAGUGCUCCAAGUGUCGAACCAUAUUACCACGUUUGAUGUACGCUAAAAUCAUGGUCUUGUCUUGAUUGAGCUUGAGUAGUAGCAUCUUAUUGGAAAAUCUCUACGGUGGCUAUUAAUCAGAGGAGGAUAGACAACUUCAAAACUAUAAAUUUUUUAUUCAUAAUAAUAACUUGAAAUAUUUGAAGGUUGAAUCUUUCUGACUUCCUUAGUUUUACCUCAUCUCUCUGGGUUUUUUUUUUUAUUUUAAAAUUGUAUCUAAUAAAUACAUUACACUAUUUUUUAUUUAAUAAAUACUUUUACUUUAAUCAUGAUAAAGACUCUUCUUUUAACAGAAACAAUAAUAAAGUUAAACUAUAUGGAUUUUUUUAUCGUCACUCUUAUUUUUAAUUAAAAUUAUUAAAUUAAUUUUUUUUAUCUAAAUUUUUUUUUGUUUUCAAAUCAGUAAAUGAUGCAAGCUGGAUCAAUCUCAUUUCUUUGAGUUUUAUUAUGUGCUAGUUAAAUUAACUAGCACAUACUAUCAUCAAACUUUGUCAUAGUUAGAAGUAAAAGUGCUGGACAGAUUCCUCUGCAAAUAAGAGAUUUUUGAAGUAAAUGGUGAGAUCUUGAACUCUUAAAAACUCUUGUGAGUGGUAUUUAGGUGUAGGAUUCAUUGGAUGUGGUUUGUAAAUAGAUCUAAUAUUUUGUCACAAGAUCAGUGUCACUUCCAACUUUCAAAGUUGUCUUUUGGAUAAUUAAAAAAAAACUCUAAAAUUUUAUUUUUAUUUUUUAAAUAUGUGAUUACUUUUGAUUACCGUUUUUGUCCGAUUGCCAUGUUGCCUCUAUCCUUCGUUUGCUAUUAUCGUUAUGAUAACCAAGGUGAGUAGUCUCUAAGGAUGAUUAGCAUUGAUGAGGCUUCUAAACUAGUGAGAGAUGUAAUGUCGAUUUUUCGUAAAGAAUGAGAUGGAACGGGGUGAGCUACCAAUGGGUUUAGAUAUGUCAAUGGAGACGAUAUGUGAUGGAGAUUCAAAACUUAACAAAAAGCAUUCCAUGUAGCUUGGCACCUUCAACAUCAUCAAUGAAGUCAUGUGCACCUACCAUGUCGCCACUCAUCGAUUUAGCAAUCCUAAGACCAAGAUCAACUUUCUUUAUUUCCUAACUCUCUCAACGACGAGCAUAAUAUCCUCUAACCCUAGUGUCAUGAUCGUCGAGCCUUUUACCUCACCCAAAAGGCACUCUUAAGACAUCACCCAUUUUAAUCGCCAUGAUGACAAUAACAAAUGAGAGACAAAGGCUACGAGACGAUAAACAAAGGUUGAAGAUAUCAAUCGAUCGGGCUAAGUUUAAAAGGGUGCUUUUGUGUUAUAGAAAAUAAUGUGUGUUUUGUAUAAAUAAACCAAAAGAAAAAGUUAUGAAGGAAAAAUUGUAUAAAUAAACCAAAAGGAAAAGUUCUGAAGGAAAAAAAGAUAAAAAUUUAUAUAUAUUUUUUAGUAAUCUGCCCUUAUUCUUUUUAUUUAAGCAAUGUAAACAGUCCACCAAUCAUGUGAUCUCGUAAGUGACAAUAAUUGACAUGGGCUAAGCCACAGGCGGUAUUCUCCCUUCUCCACGUCUGUACCUUCCCAAUAUUCCAACCAGAUUCCUUGGCUUGAUAGCACACCGAGGUGAAUCCCCACUCUAUACGUCAUCGAUUCCCCCAAUUGCCAUCGUUCUUAUUCUUAUCGUCAUCGUCAGUCGUUCUGUCGACCAGUUAUUCUUGAAAAAAUCUGAGGGUUUUUUGGUCAUUUUAUAAAGGACUACCGACGGUAUCUUCUCUUGGCUAUUGGUUAUCAUCCCGGCAGGAGAAACCGGGUCGAUUCGAGCGAAGGGGAAAGGAGGGCAUGGCGUCGUGGAACUCGCUCGGGUUGGAGAUCACGUACGAGGCCUUCGGAUGGAUCGCCUUCUUCUCCUGGUCCUUCAGCUUCUACCCUCAAGUUAUUCUCAAUUACAAGAGGAAAAGGUUCGGAUCCUUUUUGAUUCCGUCGUUGAUUUCAAUCUUCAUUUUCUCUUCUUUUCUGUUAUUCUCUAAGGCAAGAUCGGAUUUUGUUUGGUUUCUUGCUGAAUUCAUGGGAUUUUAGGGUGGUAAUGUAUUGAUUCUGGUCUUGUUUCUUUGGUGAUCGAAGCGUGGUGGGCUUGAAUUUCGAUUUCCUGGUGCUCAACGUUACGAAGCACUCGUCGUAUCUCGUAUAUAACGCGGCCAUGUUCUUUAGCCCUGUGAUCAAGAGGCAGUAUCAUGAGAAGUAUGGUUUCGGAGAGGUUGGUAUCUUUUCUGUUUCUCCUUGUCGUUGAUUUCUUUUGUAUGUGUAAUUAUUGUUUUGUGCUUCUGGAAAGGUAAUUUCGACCGAAUUACCACUAAAAAUGACAUUUUGAUUGAAUCGAUGGACGGGCAAACAACGUUACCCUUUGUGCUUUCCCUAUUUGACUUUAGGGGACAUUGGUUUUUCCACCUCUGUCCUUGUUCGAUUUCAACUUGCUCGCCCAUAGUUUAAAGGUUGUCGUUAAGCCAUCCAUGUUAUUCUUCGUCAGUCGUCUUCAUCGUUGUUGUUACGUACCUCAUGCUGCACGCCGGUUCAGUGACAUUAAGCCGUUCCGUGGUGACACGCAGAUUACGUUCCUUGUUCCUUUACGGCAGGAAACCGUCUUCUGGUUGUUUCCGAAAUCGGUUUUUCUCUUUCCACAAACUUUUUUGCUUCUUCGGAAUGGGAAUGGGUUUCAACUAUAGGCUUACUCCAAAAGCAAACGAGGAAGAAGGAAGAAGCAGAAGAAGGAAGGAGGAGGAGACGAAUUGGAGGUGCGGCGGGUGGCAGCCAUAGGUGCGGUGCGACAGCGGAUAGUGGAGAAGAGACACUUGUGUGUCAUGAGCCCUGGUUCAUCGUGCAACCGUGUUUAAAAGAAAAAAGAGAGCCGCUUAAGUAAUUAAAGGGGACCGACCAUACUACCUCAAAUAGGGAGGUCCACGUCUGGGUUCAUGCCCAGACUGGUAGAUAUCCAUUGGGUAGGGGUCGAUCUGGACAAAAUUGAAUUCCCUCUUAUAAUCACUAUAGGAUGUCUUAGUAUUGAUUGCAAUAGAUUUAUGUCAAUUUAGUAGUCAAUUUUCAUUCAGUCUUCUCUCUUCAUUUCUGGGAGGCCAAUUCUCUUGACCUACAUAAUGUAGUGAUGGACAAUCAUAUCUUUUUUAUCGGAUGUAGACCAUCCGUAUAAGUUGAUUUGUUUUUGUUAUAAAAUCAAUGUGGUGGUAUGCUAUAAAGUAUAAGCCUGCGAACCAUUUCUGUCAUAAUAUUGAAUUUCUUCCAAACUUCUGUUAUACACCUUAAAAUAUUAAGUAUGGGUUUGUUCGGCUGCCUUGCUGAAGGUUUUGCCAUAGAUUCUACAUAUGUAAACUAUUGAUUUGCUGAUUUAACAUCAUGUUCGUUUGGAAUGUUUAUUCUCUAGGAUGUGUGUACGAAUUAUUCUCUUAAUUUCAGAUGAUUCCUGUAGCUGCAAAUGAUGUGGCUUUUUCAGUACAUGCUGUUGCGUUGACGGCUUUUACAUUGUUCCAAGUUUUGAUCUAUGAAGUAAGUAAUCCUUUUUUGUAUGAGAUCAUUUUCUUGCUGUAUGUUAUAUUGUCCCUUACCUUCUUUCCUCUGCUAACUCUCUUUUUGCCUCCUUUUUAUUCUUAAUCUCCACAGCGUGGAAGUCAGAAGGUCUCAAAGACUUGCAUUGGUAUCACUGUUAUUGUCUUGCUUUAUGCUGUGGUCUGUGUGUUCUUAGCCUGGCCCAAUCAUUCUUGGCUUUGGCUCAUCUCUGUUUUCAAGUAAUACUUUGUUCUUAUAAGAAAACUAAUGUUUUGAAAAUAUAAUUUAACUAAAGAAACAUUUAUGCAUUCUAUCUUCUGGAACCCCAAGAAAGAACAUUAAAGAAGACACCUUUAACAUCUAUAAGUUUUGCUUUUUUAAAAAAUUGACUUCUUGCAGUUGUCUCAUAUUCUCAUUAAUUUUUCUUUAAUGGCAUGAAUUCAGCACAAUACAGGUUAUCAUGACAGCAAUCAAGUACAUCCCACAGGUAUAGAUGCUUUUUCAUUUGUUUUAUAUUUUAUUUGCAUAAUUUAUAUAAAGUGUAGAAAGUGAUAGAUAAAAUUUAUUAUCUCAUUUUAAAGGGUGCUAUAUAUUUAUUCAUGUUUUGAUGAUAGAUCAUUUAUAUCAAGAUUUCUGAAUAUUUGCUCUCAAGAUAGUGUUACAGUGGUGUCUGGGAUAUGUCCAAUUAAGCAGCCAGACAUUUUUUUUCAAAUAUAACUGAGGCCUAAUAGGAGUUCCAUUUGAUAGAAAAACCACCUCGUGUGAUACUUAUCUUUUGGUGAUACCGAGCAAUUAUUUUGAGGUUCAAAUAAGUUAUCAUGUAUAUUGUGGUUGGCUUGAUACAUAAUGAGUGACGCUUGAAACCAUUUUGAUAUUAACCAAUGUAACUUUAGGACUUCCUCUACCCAACAUAAGCAAUUGUGUUUUCCUAUGGCAGUAAAAUGAUACUAUGCUAGACUUCCACCCAGAGUAUGUCCACUUUUGCUUUUUGAACCUUGUCCAUUACAACGAUUCCAGUUCUUUGUACCAAACCUUUUGUUUUAUCCAUCAGGAAACUUGGUUGCUUCUCCCUGGUUCAUACAAGUUGAUAAAAUUUUGCUGGAAAGGCUGAUUUUCCAGCUAACAAACCAACAUUUAUUUUUUAGGUUCUAUAAGAAGCCAGCUGGGUGACCUCUAGGAAUCCUGCAUUACCCACAAUAGUACCACACUGGGGUGAUUUCUUGAGACGAGUCACUGUCCAUCCCAAAUGGCACCGUCUGGCUACUCCUUUUUGGAAUUUGAUCAUUGUGGUUCUGACUUUGGUCAUGACAUGCAGCAGCAUGGUGGACCAUGACAUCUCUAGAAUCCCACAUCACCAAUGGGGGAGAUUCAAUCUGACUUCUGCAUAAUAUGCAUAAUAGCAAGUUGUUUUGAAUACAUGAAUCUGUCUAUCAGAGUCAAGUUCAUUAGUCAGUUAUCUCAAGGGGUAAAGUAUUAGAUAUCUUCUAUAGAUAAUUGUAAAAGGAUUAUAUAAUUCUUUUCAGGAAGUAGACUGUAGAAAAAUUUGCAUCGCAGAAGUUUCUGGCUUUAGAUUUCAGGUUUUGUAGAUCAACAUAUAAGCAUACAUAGUUGUCAUAUAGUUAAUAAUCUAUCAAACUAAAUGACUGCAGCUAAGCUAAACUUACAAAUAAGUGAAGGAAUUAUAAAGGUAAUUUGGACUACACAUGGCAUCCUCAACAUGGGUACAUAAUCUAGUAGAGUAUUCUUUACAAAUUUCCUGGAGUCUUCAAUUAAAAAAAAAAAAAAAGAGAAUGUGAAAGAAGAUACUUUUAAGGUUUUUCUUUUACCCAUUGCCUUUUUUGUCUUCUAGAUGAUAGAUAUAGCUUCUUACAUUCUCAUGCAUUUGUUAGGCAUUCAUGAACUUCCAGCGCAAGAGUACAGUGGGUUGGAGUAUCGGCAAUAUCUUGCUUGAUUUAUUGGGUGGCGUGCUGAACUUUGGUCAGAUGGGUGUGCAGUCUAUAGAUCAGGGUGUGUCAUGCAUUUUACAGGAGAUGUUCUCAUCCAUUAUGUGUCAUUAUUCUGAUUUUCCUAUCACAUGUUUUUAUGCAGAGACACUAGUUAACUUCUAUGGAAAUUUUGGCAAGACACUGCUUUCACUGGUAUGCAAAUGCUUUUUGUUCUUUCAUUUUGCAAUCUACAUCUGAGAUGCACGAGAUAUUUUUUGUUACAGCUUUCAUAUCAUUUUUUUUGUCUCAAAUAAUGGCCAGUCCUCCUGUUUAGCUGUUUGUGGUACAAUUUUCUGGGGCAAACCUGUAACAGUAUUUGAAUUAACAUCUUUGAGUGCAUUUGUUUUUCCUGAAACUCUUUGAAUGCUCUUUCAAUUACAUUACUGGUGCUAAAAAAGUGUGGAAGUAGAUCUAAGAAGACUAUUAGAAACAAGAAGGAAGGAUCAUAUGACCCUAAAUAUGGUUAGUGAUAAUAUCUUUACUGAAGCUCAGUGGUGGGGCUGUUGUGACCCCAAGUUGUUGGAAUGUCUCACUUGUUAUUGUCGGUCUAAAUAUAUUACAACCUAGACAAUUUAUUUUACAAAAUUUCUAGACCAAAUAUUUAUCGGUAAUUUAUUAAAUAUAGUUUGGAGCAGCUUGAUGUUUUGCACACUUUUAGUAGUUUUGCUACACUUAGUUAAUAGUUAGUUGCAGUUUUCAUUAUGGGUCAUUUUACAGAGUUCAUUUAGUUUCUUUGUUUUAACUCUUCUAAUAGCAAUUUGUUCAAUUUAUGAUCGAUAUACUAUUUUACUCAUCACUAGGUUGAACACAAAUGCCCAAACUCGUGACUGGACCCAUCAACUCAGGUCCUGAGUUUGGUUGUGUUGGCAUGUUGGGCAGCCCAACGUGAACUUUCUCUCUUCAUGAUUUCCUUUCACUCUUUAUUACACUCCUCCCUUGUAUCUCCUUCAUCUCCUUAACCUCUCAUUCUUCGCCCCCUUGAUAUCCUCUCUUCUGUAAUCCUGCUAUUCCUUGUUCUCCUCUCCCUCCUCUAUUGGAUCUCCCCCUAGUCAGCCAUCCUCUCAGCCUCCUAUCCCUUCUCCUCACCUCCUCACUUGCAGAUGGGGAUGCUGGCGCCAACAAGGGCAUGCUGUUCAGGAAUGGAGACAGAGCGCAAAGAUUGAAGCCUUGAUGUGAAGGCGAUGGCAGGACCCAGGAGCAACGGCAAUCUGUUAUUGUUUUAUUUUUAAUUUUCCCCUUUUCUUCUAUUGAAGACAUUAAGUAAUAAAUAAAAAAGAAAUUAAAAUUAGGCUGGCCUAACUCAGCACUAGUCUAGAGGCCAUAGGUGGAGACUGUCAGGUUGAGCUUUGGAUUUCUGGAUCCAACAUGCACCACAUUACUCCUCUAGGAAUAGAUAAUAGAUGACUCUUAAUGAGGUAGAUUUGGUGAUGGAGCUGAUAUUGCAAGUUAACUCAUCAGUUUGCUUUAAGAAUCAACCCGAUCAACUGACUAGUGGCAUUAUCAUGUUUGAAUUUUUUCGGUCAGUGUGCUAGUUCUUUUAUAAUUCAGUGUCAGAGUGGGGAAGGAGAAAGAUUGUUGCUCACUGUGUAACUCAUCUUCUAAGGACAUACAUACAUGCUUUGAUUUAUCUAGUAUUGAUGCAGACAAGACACCAGACUGCAAAUUGAUUAGAACUAUUAGAUGCAUAGGAUUAUUUCACAAAUAGUUUUUAUCAUUUCUGAACUUGCUAAAUUUGUUUUAUGAGAAAUAGUACGAUAUAAUUAUCCCAGAAUGCAGUUAAGCAGUCAGUUUUGCAUUCCGUUUCUUCUAUGGUGUCCUUAAUCAAUGAUUGAUCUCAAUUUUAUGUUAACUGAGGAUGAUGUAGCUAGAAGAUAUCUUGAGUCAUUGCAUAUCUUGCACAUCUCUGCUCAUUUUAUCCAAAAUGCAUAUCCUUAAGUUAUUAUUAUUUUUUUCUUUUUCUCUUGCAGGAAGUAGUGCUCUUUGAUAUUCUCUUCAUUUUCCAGCAUUAUGUGCUCUAUCCUGUGAAGAAUGAAGGAAACCCAACCAUUAUGGAAGAAAAUAUUACUCCACUUAUCAAUUCUGAAGAGAAACCGCAGUUAGCAAAUGUGUAGGGGAUUUCCCGAACUUUGCUUGCUUUAAGAUCAUUCAGACUGCAUAUUAACGAUUGUACUGCAUUCAACGACGCAAUGUUAAACUGGGAGCAAAAAGGGAAGGCAUAAGUUUGGAGGUGAUCGAUCUGUUUUGCAUGAGCAUCAUGCAGUUGUUGAGGCUGUAAUUCAUAAAUGGUGCUUUGAUGCAUAUUGAAACUUGACAAUUAAAGUGAUAUUCUCCUGUGAUGAUAUGAUCGAUGAUAUGUGAAGCAUCCAGCGGGGGUCAAUAUAUUAAGUUAACUAUUACUGAUUGCAAUCAGAUUAAACAUGCUUGGAAAUUGCCCUCCUUUUUGUUACUAAUUUGUGUUAUUGCACUUUCCUCUUGCUUAUGUAAGAAGAGUUAGCAGUAUUGUGUCUCUGAAUUCGGUAGUCAUGUCCCUCUAAAUUCAUCUGUUGUCUGUCUCUAUACCUAUUUGGUAUUUUUUCUUUAAAUUUUUAUUUAGUGGGAAAUAUUUCUGCAAAGUCUACAUUCUAUUUUAUCUUGAGAAGAAUGUUGUG
rnacentral:lncRNA from 1 species